UUGGAGACUCUCAAAACCAAUUUUUAGAAGAAGUUAUUCUACCUUAAAAAUGUAUAAAGUUAUAUUGGGGACUUUCUAAACCAAUUUUUAUAAACUCAGAGACUAAAAAGGUGCAUGACCAAGUGGGCCUAUUUUUUUAAACCUAGAGACUAAAAAGUGUACAUUUUUAAAACUUAGGAACCAAACACAUGUGUUCUUCAAAACUUGGGGAGUAUUUUUCCUAAAAAAUUUAAGAUAAUGCCAAAUGUCAUUUAUCAUGUGAAGUAAUUACGAUUUCAUUUUUCAUUUGAGGAAUAUGCCUUCAAAUUUUUUUCCAUUUUAUUUUUGAACACUAACAAACGUACAUCAACUUUUGACUUCCAUAAUCCCAAAUAUUUUUUAUGUAUAUUCUGAGAUCAUAUUUGAAAUUCUCCUACUAGAGAGCUGAAAUUGUUGAAUGGAUAAAUCAAGGGGGAGGCGAGGUUGUUGAAGAUCACAUGAAGCAGAAAGUGCACUUCACUGUUGAAUGUCAUGGUGGGAUACCAAGGAGUACAGACGUUCAUAGUACUUACGUGUCAAGUCAUUGGGUUCAAUCAUGUUUAGAGGUAAACUAUAAUAAUUAAUUGUCUUAUUUGUGAUUUCUGUUUUAGAACUCUACUAUUGGGUUUUGUUUGUGUUUCCCUUUUUGGACAUAAAAGUCCACACAAGGUUGAAUAGCAUAUUUUGUUUCAUUUAGCCACUGCAAGUUUGGAUUGUGUUUGGGUUGGAGUUUUGAAUUUUGAGGGACUUUAGUUUUGUGUUAGCCACGCUCUUAUAAUAUGAAGGAUGGAUACUAGUUUUUCCAAAACCAAACACACAUCAGUUUUCUAAGAUUACAACAACUGUUCUCCCAGCGUAAAAAAAGGUAUCCUCAAACCAACUAAAAGAAGGGGAAUAUAUGAGCAAGAUUUAUAGUUAAUAAAUCAUCAAAAGUAAAUUAGAGUUGGACUCGAGAACUCUUGCUGAUGUAUAGGAAAAGCAGACAAGGUAUGGGAAUAUAAAUUAAAACAGCCUUUAGAUGAAGAGGGCUGCUAGAACUGAUCCUACCUCAAAUGGCGCUACCAAAAUAUAGGACUUGAAUCUUCUCCCCUCGCCCGUUGUUCUCGGCGAUGUUAAAGUAUCUCAAUUCAUAGACAUUCAUCUCCUUGUUUGAAGCAAUAACUCCAAGGCCAAUCUCAAAUGUUGUGUUUCUUGAAAUUCUUCUUAGCCAAGUAUUUAAGAUUCCUCUUGGAGAAGUAGCUACUGAAGUUGAUGUUGAUCUUGUUCUUGUCCUGAGUGAUAGUGACUGAGUCACCAAGUGUCUCUGCCAUCCCAGCUUUGUUGGUGCUUUCAAGAAGAAAUGUCUCUGACGAGGUGAUGGCCGUGAUCUUGUCCUCAACUGGCAUCACACAAUCAAAUGGUCACACCCUUAUUUUUUCCCUUUGGGCCACCAGAUGUGGCUGGUCCAUGACUCAUUCUGCUUCUGAUCUGCUACUUGUUUCCCUAACUCUGCAUCUGUAUAGAACAAUUGGCAUAAAAUGGUGGAUACUAUUAAAUUGAAAAAUGGAGAUUCAAUCAGUUCUAUCAUUUUGACCUUUUAAUGUUUAGGGGAAGGUGGUAACAUAAAUUUACCUUCUCAGACUAUCCAUUAAGGUUGGUUGGAAAAGAAAAGGGUGGUCUAUCUUAGAAAACAUAUUUGGUUGUUCUCUUUUUUCUUCACUCUGUCUACAUUUUGGAAAUAUGAAUGCUAUCAUAGUGUGAGAGGUUUCUUUAUCGACAAAAUUAAUUGGAGUUCGAAAUUUGAAGAAGUCUUUCUAUGACUGUCCCUUGAACUCCAAAGGUUUGCACUCCAUCCCUGUGCCAAACAAAUAGAUGCUUCUUAAAUAUUUUUCUGGAGGAAUUGAGAAAGUAUUGAUGCAAACUUCUGUUAAAUGCGUUAAAUUACGGCUUUCAAGCCAAUUUUGAAUGGAUAGCCGGAGUAGAAACUGCAAUUAUUGAUGAAAUUUGAUACUACUGAUGAAUUUUAUUUUUAAUUUUAUAUUAUUAUUAAUUCCGUAACUUAAUUAUGUUCAAUAUCUUAAACCGAUAUUUGAAAUGAGAAUUGAAUAUUUAUCUUGUUUUUAUUUGUUACUGACUAUUUCAAAUAAAUUCGUUAUGAAGGAUGGAUGUUUGUGGGAUACCAAUGGGCACAUUCUCUAUUCUCCUCUUCCUUGUUGUGUCCCUUUGCCUGGAUUUGAAAACAUACGGUUUUGUGUUUCACAAUAUGAUGAUAAAGACAGAGUAUUGUUAAGAAAUUUGUGUUUUGUACUUGGGGCCAAGUUUGUGGAGAAGCUGACAAAGAAGGUAACCCAUCUAAUAUGCAAGUUCACGGAUGGGACAAAGUAUGAGGCUGCUUGUAAAUGGGGGAAACAAUGCAUUACAGCUGAAUGGAUAUAUGAGUGUGUCAGACAAGGAACUUUGCGAUUUUGUUGCUUUUCAAUUAUAUAUGUUCAUAUACAUGCAUAUCCUGAUAGAAUUCUAGACCCAUUGUGUUUAUAUUUCUUCUCUUAGAUAUGGAAUGAUUUUGUUUGAAUACAAAAUUUUCAGAGAAAGAUUGUUUCUCUUGAUUUGUAUCGCCCAAAAGAAGUUACAGCUCAAGACAGAGUGACAUGCUUGUGCACUGUCAGCCAAUUUCCUACUCAAGCUGCCCCAAUGAUAGCCAAUGAAAGCGUAUCCCAGUUUCCUAUCCAUUCUGCCAUUCUGAGAGACCAAUCAGCUGGAACUAACAGUAGCUCUAUAGGAGCAGCUGAACGAAUAAGUUCUACUAAAAGAAGGCGCAAGUUAUUUGACGAAGCCAUACAAAAGCGUUCAGUUUUUGUUGGAAACAGUUCCACUCAAUCUGACUGCAAUUUGAAUUCCACAAAACAAACUACAUCAAAAUCUUCUGUAGUAACUUCACACGUUCCUGAUGUCGCUUCCGCAAUCGAGGACUUGUUGGAGCAGACAACUAAGGUAAAAUCUGGUUUGAGCUUCAAUUCCAUUACUUCAUUCCAUUUUUAUUUUUAUUUUUUCCUUCAAAUCCUUUUGUUUUCCAUUCUUUUUAAGAUUCAAGAUCAGAAGUCACCUGGAAAGACUGGCUGCGACAAAAGUGUAUCCUUCUAUUAGGUUUAAACUAACUAGUGGACAUGGCCAUUCUUAGCUCUUACAUCCAAAGCAGUUAGUCGUACGAGGACAAUUUCUUUUUCUUUGUCUGUUUUACUGAGUCAAAAGCAGCCUUUAGGUUUCAUUAUUACAUUCUGGUGGAGCGAGAGAAAGAACAGAAUCGUCAAAGGGUGUGAGAGUCCUUAUUGCGAUGUUUGAUCCCUUACUGAAUUCUUUGUUUCUUCUGGGACAUUUGUUUUGUUAUUAUUUGCUAGACCUUAUCUCUUUAUUGGAGCCUUUUUUGCACUUUGGUUCUUUUUGUGGGCUUUCUUUUUUAUGUCCGUUUAUUCUUUCAUUUUUUCUAAAUGAAAAUUAAGUUUUUUUUUUUAGAAAAGAAAAAGUUAUUAAAUGCAUCUGCAUUUAAAUAGUAUCUAGUGAUAGACUUUAGUAUCUUAUCGUUGGUUCCCACUCCACCUAAUCUAUUAUUACAUGCAUCUGUGUGCUUGUGUUCUAAUUCCUUCUAAACUAUUUUUACGGGAUUUUCAUAGCCAUGUCUUUGAAGAACUUGAAGAACUCCCCUUUUCCUUCCCCAGAAGAAAGUUCACUCACAGUAUGUUCAUUCAGCUGUUGUGAUUAGUUUGUAGAAUUGAGAGGAGCAUUGCCCAUGGUUUAUCUUUUUUGGUAUUUUCAAUUCAUUUUUAAGACAAAUGUUGAUGUUUUAUUUUUGGUGUAGCUGACUUACUUUGCCAUGGACUAUAAGAGCUAAUUGUUCAAACCUGCGAAUUUAGGUUCAUCAUCAAAAACCACCGUAGCCGAUCGUGGGGAUCCUAACGAUCCCCGAGUAAGAUUAAAACGUGAUUGCGUUGGGAUUAUGGCUGCUUUCAAACUUGGGCAGCCUUUUCAUCAUGUUGUAAUUCUAGCCAACACCCAUCUUUGUUGGUAAAAUUGUACUUUCUAGUUUCCUUUGCCCUUAUCUGUAAAGUCUAUAUGAUUGCUUUUAGGACCUGCUGUAUUGAAGAACAUCUUAUCCAUCCAAUAUGUAAAGAAAUGGAUAUUUUGUUACAGGGAUCCAGAAUGGGCUGAUGUGAAGCUCGCUCAGGCUAAGUAUCUUUUAUCACGCCUAGCUCGAUUCAAAUCUUUAGUUGCUGAAAAGUUUGAAUGCACACCCUCAGUACUUUUGGCUGGCGAUUUCAAUUCAACCCCAGGAGAUAAGGUUUGUAUUCUAUCUCGAUUUAUCAUUUGCAUUGAAUUUCCUCUUUCUGAAGAUAUGGUAUAUAGCUAUUUCAUUGUUAUUAUCAUGUCUAAAUUACAAGUUUAGUCCCUUGAACUUUGUGUCUCCUUGAUUGCUUAACUUUCCAAAAGUGUCUAAAAGAUCUGCAUGCUUUCAAUUUUGUGUAACCAAGUCUCAAAAUUUUAAAUUCAUGCAUUUAAUAGGUUCUGUUAUACAGGGUAAAUUUAGAUCUAUUAAAAACAUAAUUGAAAAUUCAUAGAUUUAUUGGACACAAAAUUGAAAGUUUAGGGACCAAGUAGAUACUGUUUCAAGUUUAGGAUUUUUCCAUACAGAAUUGAAAUUUUAGAGAUCAAAUAGAUACAGACCUCAAAAUUAAGGACUAAACUUACAAUUUAACCAAUUGUUAUUGAGUGUAUAGACUUAUUUUUAGGCGUAGUGCUACUAGAACGAACUGAUGACCAUAAACUCACAGGGUGACAUGAAAAGUACUAUUGUAUGGAAUCUCAUAUAGCAGAAACAUAUAACAGAAAAAUAUUUAGAUAGCUUAUAUUAUCUUUCGAAAAAUAUAAACUACAUAGUUCAAAACGAAGAUGAACGGUAAAUAGUUUGAUGCUAUAACGUUCUUAACCACACCACCUUUGAAAAUAAGUAAUCUAGAAACUUACUGGUUUCUGUUGGUGCAAAUGUGAACCGAAGUUCAAAGAUUGGUCUCUUAUUUUUUUGUCUCUAUACUUUCCUCCUCAUUCUGCUUCAUGAGGAGAAAGGCAAUCUGUCAAAGAGUUGAAGGAGAAGACAGAAGAACUUAAAGGUCACAUGAAGACCUAAAAGUUAGGUAAUUUUUUGAAAACUUUUUUCUUAGUCUUGGUUAGUUUUAGUGGUAUUUGUUAACAGGCUGAGACAUACUCUUGUAUGCCAAGGCUGGGUGGCCAAUUCAAUGGAUGGCCUGAGACGGUGAAAUGACGAGUGUAGAACAAAGUAGACAAUCGAGCAGAUUUACAAGUAGGAGGAUGGUGUUUGGUCUUACUCUAAAGCUACUGCUAGAAAGGUGGUUCUCCCUUUAUUUACACAUGUUAUCUAUAUUUAAUUACUGUUUUUAUGUGAUGGUGAAUAAAUAUUUAAGUCGUUUCAAGUUUGUACAUCAUGCUUGAGUUAAUACAUUUCCCAACUCGCACUAAUUUUAAAGUUGAGACUAAGUUUGUUGCACUUACACACUUGGUUGCCAUUUUGGAUUUUGGAGUGCUUUUUCUACAUUUUUUGAACUUUUUGGUAGGUUAUGAGUUAUGAAGUAACACUAAAGCAUUAUUAGGUCGUUUUUAAAGUUCGAGUGAUACUUAAACAUUUUUUGAACACCUUUUAGGUUGUUACAAACUAAGUUAGUUUUACAUACAGCCAUGGUUUCCAUUUUGAGUCUUGAAAGAUUUUUUUUCACACUUUUUGAAAUUUUUGGUAAGUUAUGAGUUAUAAACUUACACUUAAGCGUUGUUAGGUUGUUCGAAAACUUAUACGUGUUUUGAAUACUUGUUAGGUUUGUAUAGAACUAAGUUCGUUGCACUUACACACUUGACAUUUUUGGUUUUGGAGUGUCUUUUUCAAAAAUUUUGAACUUUUUUCUAGGUUAUGACUUAUGAACUUGUAUUGAAUAUUUGUUAGGUCGUUUUGAAAGUUCAAGUGAAACUUAGACACGUUUUGAACUCGUUUUAGGUUGGUUUGAAACUAAGUUUUACACACAUUUGAUUGACAUGUUGGGUCUUGAAGUACUUUUUUCAUACUUUUUGAAAUUUUGGUAGGUUGUGAGUUACAAACUUACACUGAAGCAUUGCCUGGUCGUUUUGAAAAUUCAAGUGAUACUUACACACGUUUUGAAUACAUUUUAGGUUAGAUUGAGUUUGUUGCACUUGGUUGUCAUUUUUGGUCUUGAAAUGCUUUUUUCAACAUUUUUGGUAGAUUAUGAGUUACUAACUUACACUUAGGAUUUGCUAGAUCGUUUUGAAAACUCAAGUAAUACCUAGACACGUUUUGAGCAUGUUUUAGGUUGGUUUGAACUAAGUUUGUUGCACUUACACACUUGGUUGCCAUUUUGGGUCUUGUAGUGCUUUUUUCACUCUAUUUGAACUUUUUUCGUAGGUUAUGAGUUACAAACCUACACGUAAGCUUUUUUAGGUCGUUUUGAAAGUUCAAGUGAUACUUAGACACGUUUUGAACUCGUUUUAGGUUGGUUUGACACUAAGUUUUAAACACAUUUGAUUGACAUGUUGGGUCUUGAAGUACUUUUUUCACACUUUUUGAAAUUUUGGUAGGUUGUGAGUUACAAACUUACACUUAAGCAUUGCUGGGUCGUUUUGAAAAUUCAAGUGAUACUUACACACGUUUUGAAUACAUUUUAGGUUAGAUUGAGUUUGUUGCACUUACACACAUGGUUGUCAUUUUUGGUCUUGAAAUGCUUUUUCAACCUUUUCGGUAGAUUAUGAGUUACGAACUUACUCUUAGGAUUUGCUAGGUCGUUUUGAAAAUUCAAGUAAUACCUAGACACGUUUUGAGCACGUUUUAGGUUGGUUUGAACUAAGUUUGUUGCACUUACACACUUGGUUGCCAUUUUGGGUCUUGUAGUGCUUUUUUCACAAUAUUUGAACUUUUUUCGUAGGUUAUGAGUUACGAACCUGCACGUAAGCUGUUUUAGGUCGUUUUGAAAGUUGCAGUGAAAGUUAGACACGUUUUGAGCACGUUUUAGGUCGUUUUGAGCAUGUUUUAGGUCGUUUUGAGUAAAUGGUAUGUAUGUUGUGAUUGUUUGAUUGCAUGUAUAAUACCUUAUUGAGAUGUGUAUGCUUGAUUGAGAAGCUGAUAGAACACCAAGUAAUGGUUCUUAUUUGUUCAUUAAGCAACCAAACUAUUACAUAAUACAAUACUCAAACCAGUCUUGAAAACACCGAACAAACAAGUACUAUUACAGACAAUAACCAAGUAUAAAAUAAAACAUUCAAACAUCAAAAGUCGUUUAGGAUAAUGGAAAACACUUUCUAAGAUUAAAGUAACUGAACAACUUCUGUAAUUCUGCUCUCUAGAAAAUACAGCCCCUCCACUUCCAGAAACUGAUUAACCAACCCCCAUCUUUCCUUCCAUCUCUCCCUUUUAACCUCCCCCUGUAACUAACUGUUGUCUCCACUAAGGUGGUUUCCACUUCCUCCAAUUCCAUCACCUGUGCACGUGCAAUUCCACUUGUCUUUCUUCUGCUAUAUUGUAUUGCAAUUGGUGGUCUAUCAUUACUCUCCCUCUCCAAAGACACCUUGUUCUCAAGGUGGGAAAUGAGGAAGCUUUUGUGUAAAAUCAUCACAGUUCUCCCAUGUAGCCUCAUGAGGUGGUAUUCCUUUCCAACUAACAAGCACUUCCCACUUCUUUGUUGCUGGAUUUUUAGGAUAGCCAAAAUUGUCUGCUGGUAGUAACUCUUGAAAUGUAGGAACAUCAUCAAUUCCAUAUAGUUCGGUAAAUGUCAUUCCUCCAUCCAUAGCUCGACAUUUUGUCAAGAAACCUUAAUCAGAUGGUGUCCAUGUCUCCAUCAUGUGUUACAGACUCACUCUAGUCUUUGUCAAACUCGGGUCACCCCUUAUAACAACAUUCUUUUCAUUUUGUAUGAAAGAUAAAGUGAGUUUCCGCUAAUCCACUUCAGUUACCCAGCCAUUGCAUUCCAAGGAUGACAUCCUGAUAGAACACUGAUGUAGUGUUUCUAUUAUAUUGAUAAUUCAAACACAACUUACAACAUAAGCAAACCGUGAACCUCAGAAAAUGAGUCACGUUACAUAUAAUUCACAAACAUCAAACAAAGAAAACCUCCUAAUCCAAAAUUCCGAACAACAAAAUACUAAUAAGUAAACCAGAAUAUAGAACACCAAUUUCUGCUUCCCCUGUCUUUCAAGCAGUAUUGCAGACAUUUUCCUUCACUCCAAAAACUCACUUUAACAAAGAGGCAGCCACAUUUUCAGGUAUAGAAAAUAAAGUAGGUAGUAUGUAGGAAGGCUAACCAGAACUGAGUUGCAUAAGGUUUGUCUUUCGCCUCUAGAGAUGUUAUAUCCUUUCCACCUUUCAAGUUUCUUGUGAAUUCGAUCAAUGACUGGUUGCCAAAAAGACUUUUGUCGAGGGUAGCCUCCCAAAGGGAGACCUAAAUAUAUAAUCGGAAGCUUUUCUACCUUGCACCCUAUCAGAUUUGCUGUUUGAAACAAAUCUUCCUCUCCCACAUUAACGCCACUAAGGGCUGAUUUUUCCCAGUUUACUUUCUGCCCUGAAUACCAUUCGAAUAAUCUAAUGACGUUUUAAAGUUUAAGGAGCAUCUUCACAUCAUACUUACAAAAGAGAAGAGUAUCAUCGACAAAUUGAAGCAAAGGGAGGUGGAUCAAGUCUUUGCCAACAAGGAAACCUUCAAACUGGCUGUUAAUAUGAAGCUUGUUUAUGAUUUCUCCUAAAACCUCACUUACUAGGAGGAAUAAAAAGGGGGAGAGGGGGUCCCCUUGGCGGAUACCUCUAGAUGCUGUUAUCCGGCCUCUAGGCUUACCAUUGAUGAAGACUGAAUACUUUGGAUUUUUUAGGCAGCCCAUUAUCCAUGAUAUCCAUUUGGAACUAAACUUUUUCAAAGAUAAAUUUUUUUCUAAAAAGUUCCAAUUCACCCUAUCAAAGGCUUUUUCCAAGUCAAGUUUUAAAAUCCAUCCUUUUUUCCGUUUUGCCCUAUAAUCUUCCACGGCCUCGUUAGCAAUUAAUAUUGGGUCAAGAAUUUGCCUACCUUCAAUAAAGGCGCUUUGAGUGGGGCUUAUAAUUGCAUCCAUAACUUGUUUUAGACGUUCAGAUAAAACCUUUGCGACGACCUUGUAUGCUAACGUAGUAAGGCUGAUUGGACGGAAAUCCUUGACUAGAGUCACAUUCUCUUUUUUCUGCACUAAACAAAUGAAGUUUUCUUGGAUGCAAGCAUUUAAUCUUCCAUUUCUGUGGAAAUCAGACAUUAGUGAUUUGAAGAUAUCCUUGAAAAUAGACCAUUGGGUGAUUAGGAACUUCACUGUGAAGCCAUCCGGGCCCGGAGCUUUAUUGUUGCCAAGUGCCUUUAAUGCCUUAAAGAUCUCCUCCACUGAAAACUGGGUAACAAGAGCCUCAUUCUGAAUUGAGGAAACACAAGACCAAUUACUGUUAAUAGGGAUGAAUCUGUCCCCCGGAAUUCUGGUAUAAAGUGACUCAAAAAAUUCCAGCACAAGCCUUUCAAUGUCGCGGAAUGAAGUCGAGACAACCCCAUCAUCAUCUUUUAAUUCAGUUAUGAGGUUCCUUCUUUUAUUCGCAUUUAAAAAGCGGUGGAAGAAGCCCGUAUUCUCAUCACCCAAAGAAAGCCAAUUGAGUUUACUCUUCUGAAUAAAAUUACGCUCUUCAUUUUGAUAAAUACUAAGUAAUUCCGCUUGCAAAGCAGCUCUAGAAUUCAACUCUUCUUGAUUUAAUCCAAUCAACUCAGCCACAAAAUCAUAUUUUUCUAAUUUUGACAUCAAGGAUUUCUCUGUUUUUUUUUUUACCUUAGCUAGCUUGCGCAGCAAUAUUCCAAGCUUUUACUGCCAAUUUAACUGAUCUCAACUGCUCAUGAAGAAUGAAACCAGCCCAUCCCUGGAAGUUAGAGUUGCUCACUGUUUCAACAAUAAUCUGAUUAGAAUCACUGGACACCAACCAGCUGUUACAAAACCGAAAAGGAGAGGGACCCCAAAGAAAAGAACCAGCCUCCAAGAAUAAAGGAAAGUGAUCCGAGAAGAUGCGUGCUUUUCGAGAAACCCGAGAAUUUUCAAAACAAACAUCCCACAUCUGAUUUAUGAAGAAUGUGUCUAAUAAUGAUCUUCAAGGAGAACUACCGUCUCUAGACCAAGUGAACCUUCCAUUUUGCAAUGGAAUUUCCAUGAGAGAAACCAUGUCAAUAAACUUAUUGAAUAAUGACAUUCCUCUAGUACUUCUGCCAAAAGGAAAUCUUUCCCGGGCCCAACGAGUGAUAUUAAAAUUCCCACCUAUGCACCAGGCCACGGCCGAACAAUCAGCUAAGGAAGACAAUUCGGACCAAACCAAUUUCCUUUCUUUGCAACCACAAGGGCCAUAGACAUUUGUGAUCCAACAAACCUUUUUGCACAAAGUGAGGCAUUUGAUUGACAAAGAGAAGCGUCUUUUAAUGACCUCUGUUACAGAUAUUUUACUGCUGUCCCACAUGGUAAGAAUUCCCCCAGAAGAUCCAACAGAAGCCACAUAAUCCCAGCCAAUAUCCUUAGAACUCCACAAUGAUUUUAUAAAAGCCGAGUUCAAGGUAUCCUUCUUAGAUUCUUGAAUCAUGACUACAAUUGUUGAUGAAUUUUUUAAGUGCUGCACGUUUAGAGGAGUCGUUCAAACCCUUAGUGUUCCAGGAGACAACCUUAAUAAUGACUGGGAGGAGGAAAAGGCAGUUGCACAUCUAAUUUAAGCCAGAAUGAUUCCACAAUCGCCGACUAUAGACACUAAAUCUUUAGGCAAAUCCAGGGGAAUUUUAAUAGGGAGAAUAUCUUCAUCAUUGAACAAGACAUUCAGAUCCAUCCCAUUAAUUUCUGGGACUAAUUUAGGGUCAACUUCAGUGUUGGGGACUGCCAAUUUAACUGAUCUCAACAGUAAGUUGAUUAAGUUGGGCAGUAGGAGGGACACGAGACAAGGCAUCUGCUGCUUUGUUUUCUAGUCCCGAUUUAUACACGACAUCAAAAUUGUAGCCAAGAAGCUUAGCAAUCCAUCUCUGAUGUUGAGGUUGGAUAACCCUUUGUUCCAAUAAAAGUUUCAAUGAUCGUUGAUCAGUUUUCACUACAAACCUUCUGCCAAAAGAUAAGGUCUACAGCGUUGCACAGCCAAAACUACAGCCAUUAAUUCCCGUUCAUAAACUGGUUUAGCACGAUCCCUCAUAGCUAAUGUCUGGCUAAAAUAAGCAAUUGGCCGAUGAUUUUGAAUUAAGACAGCACCUACCCCGUAUCCAGAAGCAUCGGUCUCUAUUUCAAAUGGUAAGGAAAAAUCUGGCAGUGCUAAGAUUGGGAGAGUCAUCGUAGCCAUCUUUAAAUUCUCAAACGCUUCAGCAGCUGCAACAGUCCAUUCAUAUGCUCCUUUCUUCAAUAGUUGAGUCAAAGGAGCAGCCACACUUCCAUAAUUCAUUACAAAUCUUCGAUAAUAUCCUGUCAACCCAAGAAAUCCACAAACUUCACGGACAUUAGUGGGCACGGGCCAUUCUUUGAUAGAUCUAAUUUUCUCGGGAUCAACCUCUACACCCUUGCUCGAAAUUAUAUGGCCAAGAUACUCCACUUUCAUUUUGGCAAACCCACACUUGUGCUGCAUAUUAGCAUAUAAUUUAUUCUCUCGCAGCACCUCUAACACCCAUUCUAAAUGUUGAAGAUUUUCAUCCAAACUUCUGCUGUAAAUUAAUAUAUCAUCAAAAAAGACUAAGAAAACCUGCGUAGGUAAGGUUUAAAGAUACUAUUCAUCAAAGCUUGAAACGUUGAUGGUGCAUUGGUGAGCCCAAAAGGCAUGACAAGAAACUCAUAAUGUCCCUCGUGUGUUCUAAAAGCUGUUUUCUUCACAUCCUUUUUACACAUUCUAAUUUGAUGAUAUCCUGCCUUGAGAUCAAUCUUCGAAAAUAUAUUAGCCCCAUUAAGUUCAUCAAACAAUUCCUCUACUACUGGAAUAGGAAACUUGUUUGGAACGGUCACACUAUUCAACGCACGGUAAUCUACACAAAACCGUCAACUACCAUUUUUUUUUCACCAACAAGACCGGGCUCGAAUAUGGACUAGUACUAGGUUUUUAUGCCAAAUGCCAUCAUUUCAUCAACCAAUCUUUCCAUCUCCUCCUUUUGCUGGUAUGCAUAUCUAUAAGGCCGAACAUUGACUGGAUUAGUCCCCUUCUUAAGAUGUAUAUGAUGUUCAAUGGUACAUUGUGGUGGCAACUCUCCAGGCCAAUCAAAAACAUCUUCAUUCUUAGCUAACACGGCUGGAAUAGACUAAUGAGUGGUAGGCACUUCAUCAACCCCAUACAUUGCUGCAAAUGCCAUUCCACCUUCCAAAGAUCCACACUCAAUCAGAAAUCCCUGAUCAAGUUCUGUCCAUGUCUUCAUCAUGUGCUUCAAACUCACCCUAGCCUUCGUAUGACUCGGAUCUCCCCUUAAUACAACCUUCUUCCCAUUUUGUAUGAAUGUCAAAGUAAUUUUUCACCAAUCUACUUCGGUUACUCCUAAUGUAUGUAGCCAUUGCAUACCAAGAAUGACAUCCACUCCCCCCCAAUUCCAAUGGCAGAAAAUUAUCCACAACCUUCCAUUCACCCAAUAGCAGUUCCACUUGUUUACAAAUUCCCUUCCCUUUUACAGCUGAUUCAGACCCCAAAAUAACCCCAUAAUCAGAAGUUUCCUGAAUCCUCUUCUUCAACUACUUCUAGUUCUUCCCCAUUUGCCCCAACAACUAAAACUCUAAGUUCCUUAUGAUCUUUCACUUUACACUUAUGGCCCACAAAAAAUCAUUCCUCACAACGAAAACAGAGACCUUUCUCACGUCUAGCCUGAAAUCCAGCAUCAGAAAGUCGUUUUAGUGGUCCUUCUCGUCGAUUAGGUUCACCAGCCACUCCUCGAAGUGUAAUCAUCCGCAUUGGAACAAUCCCUUCUGACUUGUUAUCAUUAGAAAUCACAGGAAUUUUAGGUUUAAAAGAAGCAGAAACCUGGAAUUUUCCAUCCGCUGCACGUUUGAAACUUGAUUCUCCCCUUAUCACUUCUCGGUUCUCAAUCUUUUGGGCCAACUUCAUCAUUUGAGCAAGCCCCAUAGGUUCCCAACAUUCCAUGCCUGCCUUAAUCCAUGGUUUCAAACCAUUCAUAAAUGUUUCUUCUAAGACAGCCUUUUGUAGAAAAGGCAAUGGUGCUACUGAUUUGUCAAAUAAAUUCUGAUAUUCUUCCACUGUAAUUUCUUGCUUGAUCUUUAAAAAUCUUCCCAGAAUUGAUCCCUCACGACUCGAUUAAGAUGGUACAAACUCUAUACUUUCCUCCUCAUUCUGCUUCAUGAGGAGAGAGGCAAUCUGUCAAAGAGUUGAAGGAGAAGACAGAAGAACUUAAAGGUCACAUGAAGACCUAAAAGUUAGGUAAUUUUUUGAAAACUUUUUUCUUAGUCUUGGUUAGUUUUAGUGGUAUUUGUUAACAGGCUGAGACAUACUCUUGUAUGCCAAGGCUGGGUGGCCAAUUCAAUGGAUGGCCUGAGACGGUGAAAUGACGAGUGUAGAACAAAGUAGACAAUCGAGCAUAUUUACAAGUAGGAGGAUGGUGUUUGGUCUUACUCUAAAGCUACUGCUAGAAAGGUGAUUCUCCCUUUAUUUACACAUGUUAUCUAUAUUUAAUUACUGUUUUUAUGUGAUGGUGAAUAAAUAUUUAAGUCGUUUCAAGUUUGUACAUCAUGCUUGAGUUAAUACAUUUCCCAACUCGCACUAAUUUUAAAGUUGAGACUAAGUUUGUUGCACUUACACACUUGGUUGCCAUUUUGGAUUUUGGAGUGCUUUUUCUACAUUUUUUGAACUUUUUGGUAGGUUAUGAGUUAUGAAGUAACACUAAAGCAUUAUUAGGUCGUUUUUAAAGUUCGAGUGAUACUUAAACAUUUUUUGAACACCUUUUAGGUUGUUACAAACUAAGUUAGUUUUACAUACAGCCAUGGUUUCCAUUUUGAGUCUUGAAAGAUUUUUUUUCACACUUUUUGAAAUUUUUGGUAAGUUAUGAGUUAUAAACUUACACUUAAGCGUUGUUAGGUUGUUCGAAAACUUAUACGUGUUUUGAAUACUUGUUAGGUUUGUAUAGAACUAAGUUCGUUGCACUUACACACUUGACAUUUUUGGUUUUGGAGUGUCUUUUUCAAAAAUUUUGAACUUUUUUCUAGGUUAUGACUUAUGAACUUGUAUUGAAUAUUUGUUAGGUCGUUUUGAAAGUUCAAGUGAAACUUAGACACGUUUUGAACUCGUUUUAGGUUGGUUUGAAACUAAGUUUUACACACAUUUGAUUGACAUGUUGGGUCUUGAAGUACUUUUUUCAUACUUUUUGAAAUUUUGGUAGGUUGUGAGUUACAAACUUACACUGAAGCAUUGCUUGGUCGUUUUGAAAAUUCAAGUGAUACUUACACACGUUUUGAAUACAUUUUAGGUUAGAUUGAGUUUGUUGCACUUGGUUGUCAUUUUUGGUCUUGAAAUGCUUUUUUCAACAUUUUUGGUAGAUUAUGAGUUACUAACUUACACUUAGGAUUUGCUAGAUCGUUUUGAAAACUCAAGUAAUACCUAGACACGUUUUGAGCAUGUUUUAGGUUGGUUUGAACUAAGUUUGUUGCACUUACACACUUGGUUGCCAUUUUGGGUCUUGUAGUGCUUUUUUCACUCUAUUUGAACUUUUUUCGUAGGUUAUGAGUUACAAACCUACACGUAAGCUUUUUUAGGUCGUUUUGAAAGUUCAAGUGAUACUUAGACACGUUUUGAACUCGUUUUAGGUUGGUUUGACACUAAGUUUUAAACACAUUUGAUUGACAUAUUGGGUCUUGAAGUACUUUUUUCACACUUUUUGAAAUUUUGGUAGGUUGUGAGUUACAAACUUACACUUAAGCAUUGCUUGGUCGUUUUGAAAAUUCAAGUGAUACUUACACACGUUUUGAAUACAUUUUAGGUUAGAUUGAGUUUGUUGCACUUGGUUGUCAUUUUUGGUCUUGAAAUGCUUUUUUCAACAUUUUUGGUAGAUUAUGAGUUACUAACUUACACUUAGGAUUUGCUAGAUCGUUUUGAAAACUCAAGUACUACCUAGACACGUUUUGAGCAUGUUUUAGGUUGGUUUGAACUAAGUUUGUUGCACUUACACACUUGGUUGUAAUUAAUUCCGUAACUUAACUAUGUUCAAUAUCUUAAACCGAUAUUUGAAAUGAGAAUUGAAUAUUUAUCUUGUUUUUAUUUGUUACUGACUAUUUCAAAUAAAUUCGUUAUGAAGGAUGGAUGUUUGUGGGAUACCAAUGGGCACAUUCUCUAUUCUCCUCUUCCUUGUUGUGUCCCUUUGCCUGGAUUUGAAAACAUACGGUUUUGUGUUUCACAAUAUGAUGAUAAAGACAGAGUAUUGUUAAGAAAUCUGUGUUUUGUACUUGGGGCCAAGUUUGUGGAGAAGCUGACAAAGAAGGUAAGCCAUCUAAUAUGCAAGUUCACGGAUGGGACAAAGUAUGAGGCUGCUUGUAAAUGGGGGAAACAAUGCAUUACAGCUGAAUGGAUAUAUGAGUGUGUCAGACAAGGAACUUUGCGAUUUUGUUGCUUUUCAAUUAUAUAUGUUCAUAUACAUGCAUAUCCUGAUAGAAUUCUAGACCCAUUGUGUUUAUAUUUCUUCUCUUAGAUAUGGAAUGAUUUUGUUUGAAUACAAAAUUUUCAGAGAAAGAUUGUUUCUCUUGAUUUGUAUCGCCCAAAAGAAGUUACAGCUCAAGACAGAGUGACAUGCUUGUGCACUGUCAGCCAAUUUCCUACUCAAGCUGCCCCAAUGAUAGCCAAUGAAAGCGUAUCCCAGUUUCCUAUCCAUUCUGCCAUUCUGAGAGACCAAUCAGCUGGAGCUAACAGUAGCUCUAUAGGAGCAGCUGAACGAAUAAGUUCUACUAAAAGAAGGCGCAAGUUAUUUGACGAAGCCAUACAAAAGCGUUCAGUUUUUGUUGGAAACAGUUCCACUCAAUCUGACUGCAAUUUGAAUUCCACAAAACAAACUACAUCAAAAUCUUCUGUAGUAACUUCACACGUUCCUGAUGUCGCUUCCGCAAUCGAGGACUUGUUGGAGCAGACAACUAAGGUAAAAUCUGGUUUGAGCUUCAAUUCCAUUACUUCAUUCCAUUUUUAUUUUUAUUUUUUCCUUCAAAUCCUUUUGUUUUCCAUUCUUUUUAAGAUUCAAGAUCAGAAGUCACCUGGAAAGACUGGCUGCGACAAAAGUGUAUCCUUCUAUUAGGUUUAAACUAACUAGUGGACAUGGCCAUUCUUAGCUCUUACAUCCAAAGCAGUUAGUCGUACGAGGACAAUUUCUUUUUCUUUGUCUGUUUUACUGAGUCAAAAGCAGCCUUUAGGUUUCAUUAUUACAUUCUGGUGGAGCGAGAGAAAGAACAGAAUCGUCAAAGGGUGUGAGAGUCCUUAUUGCGAUGUUUGAUCCCUUACUGAAUUCUUUGUUUCUUCUGGGACAUUUGUUUUGUUAUUAUUUGCUAGACCUUAUCUCUUUAUUGGAGCCUUUUUUGCACUUUGGUUCUUUUUGUGGGCUUUCUUUUUUAUGUCCGUUUAUUCUUUCAUUUUUUCUAAAUGAAAAUUAAGUUUUUUUUUAAAAAAAAGAAAAAGUUAUUAAAUGCAUCUGCAUUUAAAUAGUAUCUAGUGAUAGACUUUAGUAUCUUAUCGUUGGUUCCCACUCCACCUAAUCUAUUAUUACAUGCAUCUGUGUGCUUGUGUUCUAAUUCCUUCUAAACUAUUUUUACGGGAUUUUCAUAGCCAUGUCUUUGAAGAACUUGAAGAACUCCCCCUUUUCCUUCCCCAGAAGAAAGUUCACUCACAGUAUGUUCAUUCAGCUGUUGUGAUUAGUUUGUAGAAUUGAGAGGAGCAUUGCCCAUGGUUUAUCUUUUUUGGUAUUUUCAAUUCAUUUUUAAGACAAAUGUUGAUGUUUUAUUUUUGGUGUAGCUGACUUACUUUGCCAUGGACUAUAAGAGCUAAUUGUUCAAACCUGCGAAUUUAGGUUCAUCAUCAAAAACCACCGUAGCCGAUCGUGGGGAUCCUAACGAUCCCCGAGUAAGAUUAAAACGUGAUUGCGUUGGGAUUAUGGCUGCUUUCAAACUUGGGCAGCCUUUUCAUCAUGUUGUAAUUCUAGCCAACACCCAUCUUUGUUGGUAAAAUUGUACUUUCUAGUUUCCUUUGCCCUUAUCUGUAAAGUCUAUAUGAUUGCUUUUAGGACCUGCUGUAUUGAAGAACAUCUUAUCCAUCCAAUAUGUAAAGAAAUGGAUAUUUUGUUACAGGGAUCCAGAAUGGGCUGAUGUGAAGCUCGCUCAGGCUAAGUAUCUUUUAUCACGCCUAGCUCGAUUCAAAUCUUUAGUUGCUGAAAAGUUUGAAUGCACACCCUCAGUACUUUUGGCUGGCGAUUUCAAUUCAACCCCAGGAGAUAAGGUUUGUAUUCUAUCUCGAUUUAUCAUUUGCAUUGAAUUUCCUCUUUCUGAAGAUAUGGUAUAUAGCUAUUUCAUUGUUAUUAUCAUGUCUAAAUUACAAGUUUAGUCCCUUGAACUUUGUGUCUCCUUGAUUGCUUAACUUUCCAAAAGUGUCUAAAAGAUCUGCAUGCUUUCAAUUUUGUGUAACCAAGUCUCAAAAUUUUAAAUUCAUGCAUUUAAUAGGUUCCAUUGAAGUUGAGAAUCAUUGUAAACCUAGAUCUUUCUUUUUUUUCUUUGCUAUGGUUAAAUUAUAUGUUAAUGUUUUGUUCUGUUACAAUUUUGUUCCUAUCAAUAUUGAUUAGUAUUAAAGUUAGUAUACUAUUUUGGACGUUGUUAGUUCUUGUACAUUUAUAUGUCGUACUAUCAGUACAUCUUAAAUUUAGUUCAUCUGGUUUCAACAAAUCAUAACAACAUUUGAAGACAUUAUUUAUCAAAUUGGUUAAAGUAAUUUUUUAAAACAAUAAAGUAAUAGUAAUAACUAAGUUAAGAUUUAUAAAAAAUAUAGAAUUAAGAUGGUACAAACUCUAUACUUUCCUCCUCAUUCUGCUUCAUGAGGAGAAAGGUCAUCUUUUUUAUCGCUUUCAUGCUUCCUGGCUUGUGGGUUUUGGUUUUGAAGACUUUUUGUAAUUACUCUAUAGGUGUUAAUUUGAUAGUUGGAGUGCGUUCCCAUAGGUUAUUUUUUCCCUUCCUUUUCCUUUUUGUAAUUACUCCAUGGUAGUACUUGGAUCUCAUUCUCAUCACAACUUCCCAAAACCAUCUAGGACUGUUGCAUAAUUAAUGGUCCAAUGUCUGAUUAAAAUUUUAAACCACCAAAAUCAUGUGAAUUGAACUAUGAGAAUUGUUGAGAAGGAUUGAAUUUUAUGUUUAUUUGAAACUCAGCAUCUAAUGGACCGGCCAUUUGAAAUGAUUUUUUUAAAUGCUUAUAAAUGCUGUUUUCUUCACUUGUAGAGACUAUAAUUUAAACACAUGAGAAUGUUUAGGGCAAGGAGUUGAUAAUUCGUUAUAUAGUCUUAGGUUAUUAUAGUUUGUGCUUGAGGUGUGAAUUAUUUUAGUUUUGGUAAUAAUAUUAUGUGAUAGAAGGUAAAACAGUAAAAACGGUAGCAAAUUAGGUUUCAAAAUAGUAUUGAUGAUAGGUAAUUGGGGAUUUAUAGUCUUACUAUAGUCAGUGCCUCGAACAUUUUCGUAGAAAGUCAAUUCAAAUAUCCCUAAAUAUAGGUUCUUUUUUGGUUAUUAUCUCUUUGGACAUCCAAAAUCACAAGCUUAUAAACAAAAAAUUCUAGCAAAUAAUAAAGAAGUAGAACUCAUUACUAGCCAGCAAAUCAUACUUCUUACAAACAACGUUAAAAACAAAAGGAAAAAGGCUCUUCCUUUUUCCUUUGGUUUAAAAAAAAGUUUAAAAAGGGACCUCAAAUAUUCUUCUAGGCCUAGACAUGCAAAUAAGUUGGUUCAAUUACAAACACACUUACUACUUUCUAGUAGUAAAAUCACUCAUUCUUGAGCCUUUAUGUCCUAUGCAAUUGUCAUAUUAUGUCCUAUGCAAUAGGUCAUAUUAUUGUCAUUCAACAAGGGCUUUAAUUUUGAUCAGUGGGGAAUUUGUUUUUUUGUCCUUAUCUUUAAAUGAUGAUCACUUUAUUAUACGGAUCCAAUUGAUAAGUUAAAUAGUGAAUUUGAUAAGUAGAAUUCUGUCACAAUUAGUGUUAAGUAAAGUUAAUAUAGGAAGAGUCUUUCAUUUGACACAUCACAAUUAGUGUUAAGUAAAGUUAAUAUAAGAAGAGUCUUUCAUUUGACACAUCAUAUUUGAUGUGUGUAUAUAAUAUAGAUAUGCACGUACAAUUUUUUUUUUAGUUCACAUGGGUUGAGAUUUGAAACUCCAACAACCUUUUGAUAUAGAAUAUAUGAUCAAGUUGUGGUAGGUACACAUUGUGUUAUACACUUAUGUAUGUAAUAUACUGAAGAUGGGACCGUUGGGCAUAUAUGACGGCUUUAGUGAAACACAAACGGAGUCUCAGGUGUGUGCCCAUCUUUCUUUUUGCCAACUAUAACUCUUAUCAAUUAUAGUAAUUUUUUUAAAAUUUGCCAUCAUUUUUGACCACUUGAUUACAAGAGGACUAAAGAACGAACUACAACUCAUAAGAUUUUUUAUGGAGUAGGAAUUAGGGUAUUAUGGACAAAUUCUUGAUAUAUUAGGAUUAGGAUUAGGAUUAGGAUUAGUUUCUUAUAUUAAUUAGAAUUAGGAUUAGUUUGAUUUUAAUAGAGUACUUGUCUUCUUGUAUUCACAAAUUUAAAUAUUAAUAAAAUUAAGUCAUUUGGUCUACACCAUAAAAAAUUGUCAUCGAUGGAAAAUUGGAAAACUUUUCGUGAUGCUGAUCACAAGAGGGAGCUUUGUGAGUUGUUCUCAUUGCUAAACAACACAAAUCUAACUGGGAGAACCCUUAAAAUUUUUUUUUUAAAAAAAAAUUCAAAUUAAUUUGAUUGAAAACGUUGUUAAAACAAGCAUUGAAGAUUGUCAAUUGCAAUAAGAAAGCAUAGAUUGCAAAGAGUACGACAAGGCUUGGGCGGGGAUUCAACAGGUAUGCCUCUCCUAUAGUACUUUUUUAACAUUUUCAUCUCUGGCAGACUUGCAUAUGAAAAUGCCGAAACGUCACACCCAAGCAUAUCGACUUGAAAUUCAAAGCAACUACCUAAACUACGUACAAGACAUAAAGACAAGAUAAAUUGGGGCUAAUCUGAGCAUAUGGCCAUAGGUAAACACACCUUGGACAAGUAUGUCUGUAACUUGAGGACACAUUCAGGCUUGUCCCUAAGAAAGUGAAUAACUCUGUCCAAAAGGCGCCAAUGAACCGGCCAUCUCGAUCACUCACAAUGCUUGUCGGUACACCCCACAGCUUCAUAAUAUGUCUAAAGAAUAAUUGAGCUGUUAACUCCGCCGAACACUGCUUCGUAGUGGGAACAAAAGUGACAUAUUUCGAGAAUCAAUCUAUAAUGACUAAUAUAGUCUCAUAGUCGCCUACUUUUGGAAGAUGUGUGAUGAAGUCUAUAGAAACACUCUCCCACGGUCUCGUUGGCACAGGCAGAGGUUCGAGAAGCCCAGCAACCUUUGCCUUCUCGACUUUGUCCUGUUGACAGACAAGACACAUCUUCGUGUAUUGCAUGAUAUCGUCUCUCAGACGGGGCCAAAAGUAUCCAUACUUCAGCAAGACAUAUGUCCUCUGUCAUCCGGGGUGGCCAGCCCACAGAGUGUCCUGACACUCGUGUAGCAACUUCUUUCUCAGGUCUCCUCCCCUAGGGACAUACAACCGUCUCCCCUUCGUCACUAACAACCCAUCUUCAACCCAAAACUGCCUUGUUUUACCUGCCUCAGCUAAACUCAUGACACUCUGAGCCGCAGAAUGCUUCUGCAAGAACUCCCUCAAGAAAUCGCGCAUAGGACCAUUAAUCUUGCUUGCGUAGAGAUGUGCUAACAUGCACAAAGCAACGUGUUCACCUCUUCGACUAAGCGCAUCAGCGGCCUGAUUGCUCACCCCUUUCUUGUGUUCAAACUCAAAAUCAAACUCAGUUAGGAAUUCCUGCCAUCUAGCUUGUUUUGAAGUCAACUUCGGUUGCGUAAAGAAGUGACAAGUAGCACUAUUGUCCGUCUUCGCAACAAAAAGUUGACCCCAAUAAGUACUGUCUCCAGGCCCUUAAGCAAUGUACUACGACAAGCAUUUCUUUCUCGGACACGGUGUACCUCCUCUCCGUGUCAUUCAACUUUCGACUCUCAUAAGCGAUGGGGUCUCCAUUCUGCAGGAGUACACCACCCAAUGCGUAAUCAGACGCAUCGGUCUCUACUUCAAAUGGUUGGGUCACAUCUGCGAUCCCAAGAAUUGGCCCCUUGACCAUAGCUUGCUUCAGUUCAUCGAAGGCGACUUGACAUUCCAGUGUCCAAUUCCACUUGUUGUCCUUCUUCAGCAAGUCAGUCAACGGGCUUACUCUUUUAGAGAAUCCUUCCACGAAUCACCUGUAAUAAUUGGCUAACCCGAGGAAGGAGCGCAAGUCGGUGACUGACCUUGGUACUUCCCAAUCACGAAUCGCAAUGAUCUUUCCUUCUUCCAUACUGAUUCGACCACACUCAAUCACAUGACCCAAAAAAUUGAUCCGCUCUUGAGCAAAGGAACACAUUUCCCUCUUGACAUAUAGUUGGUUCUCCUUUAGUUGGUUCUCCUUUAGUUGGUUCUCCUUCAACUUCUGAAAAACCCUUUUGAGGUGGUCCUUGUGUUCUUCUAGCGUGGAGCUAUAAACCACUAUAUCGUCCAGAUAGACCACCACAAACUUGUCAAGGUAUUCAUGGAAGACCUGGUUCAUUAGCGUACAGAACGUUGCAGGUGCAUUGGUAAGAGCAAAUGACAUGACAAGGAACUCGAACGCCCCAUACCUCGUAACGCAGGUGGUUUUGGGCUCAUCCCCUUCGACAAUUCUUACUUGAUAAUAGCCCGAUCGCAAGUCUAGCUUCGAGAAAUACUUUGCUCUAUGAAGGCGAUCAAACAGGUCUUGAUUAUUGGUAACAGAUAUCUGUUGCAGACCAUGAUCUUGUUUAGGGCGCGGUAGUCGAUGCACAACCGCAUACUUCCAUCCUUCUUCUUCUGGAAAAAGACUGGAGCUCAAUAUGGAGCUUUUGGAGGCCUCACAAAUCCUGCGUUCAGCAGUUUACCCAGUUGUUUCCGAAGUUCGGCCAACUCCGGCGGUGCCAUACGAUAAGCAUCCUUCGCAGGCGGUUUUGCCCCUGGCAGCAGUUCGAUCUCAUGGUCGAUCAUUCUCCGUGGAGGCAAUGAUUUCGGCAGGCUGUCUGGCAUCACAUCCUUGUACUUCUCUAAGACACUUAGGAUGUCUUUGGGGACUGUUUCCCUUGGGCUUUCGAACGACUCCAGUGGGAUAGCCAUGAAGGUUGGUUCGUCACGAGCAAGGCCUUUCUUCAACUGCGUAGCCGAGAUCAUCUUUAUCCCAUCAGGCUGACGAAUCUCCGUUUGAACAACAGUAGGCGUUGUUCCAGUAAUCACUAAACAUUUGGCUAGCGGCAUUGGUAUGACUUGAUGCUCCAGUAGAAACUUCAUACCCAGUACCACAUCCAAGUCAUCCAUCUUUGCAACCACCAAAUCUAUGGGACCGCUCCACUCUUCCAUCCUUAUGGUCGUUCGUUUUACCAACCCGACGAUAGGUAGGGCAGCUGAGUUCACGUCCUUCAUUUUUCCUGCGUCCUUCUCCCGACGGAGAUUCAGCCGUCUAGCUUCGGCUUCUACAAUGAAGUUAUGGGUGGCACCAGAAUCCACCAUAGUGCUCUUGGGUGGCUUUUGGUUGACCCAACAGUCUACGUACAUGAGACCAUUCUACGUACAUUAGGGCCCCCAUCCGAGGAUUCUCGCCCUCUUCUAUCUGUCCAACGUCUCCUUCAGUCUGACUCAAUCUAUCAUCUGAGUCCGAGGCCAGGGUGGCUUGAAAAGCGUUGAAGUCGAUACGGUUGGGGCACUCUCUGGCAAGAUGAGGUCCUUUACAUAUGAAACAACUGAUGGAACGACUGGUGUUGUUUUGAUUGUUUGGUCCUCGCCAGUUGUUUCCUGUAUUCGCUUGGAAGGGCUUGCGAUCUCCACCUUGUCGCUUGUCUCCCCCUACAGUCUUCGGGGAAUUUGGGCGGUUGUUUCUGUUUCCUCUAGAGGAGGAAGCUUGAUGUCGUCUUGCAUCCUAAGAUUCACUAGAUAAGUCAAACAACCGUUCAGCCACUGCGUAUGUCGACGUGAGGUAUUGGAUUCGUUGCUCAUACAACUUGGUCCUAGCCCACGGCUUCAAUUCACGUAGUCCCGAAUGUUCCCCGUGUGCUUCAAUUCACGCAGCUUCCGUCGGGCCAGAACUUGACAUUCUCAAGAAAAAAAUUGCGAACGGAGUUCUUCUUUUAGGGCAUCCCACGUGUCGAUUGUGCAACGCCCUUCUUGAAUGUCCAUGUAUCGGGACCUCCACCAUAACUUCGCAUCUUCUGACAGAUGCGUGGUUGCCAGUGUCACCUUGGCCUCUUAAGUAAUUGUGUUCGUGGAUUUGAAAUACUGCUCGACAUCAAAGAUGAAGUUUUCCAACGCCUUGGCAUCUCUCGCCCCAUAGAAGGGCUUGGGCUCAGGAAUCUUGAUUCUGCCCGCAGGAAUGGCUCCUCCAGCUGGAGCCUGGUUUGCUAGUGCUCGCAUAGUAAGGUUCACCCUUGUGUUUACCUCUGCGAGCUCAUUCCUCACGACAUCGAGGGUUGCUCGAAAAUCUUCCGUCAUGUUGUUGAUCAUCUUCAACAUGUUCUUUUGGGAGUUAUCAAGCUCCAUAACUCGUUCUUCCAUCUCGGCAACAUAGCCCGAUUAACUGUCCCCACGCUCGUAGGUGACAUUUCCCGUUCUCAUAACUCGGGACUUUAGAGCGUCGACUCUAGUCAAUAACUCUUGGAUGGGUAGUCCGUCAAGGCGACCGAACACGACUUCAAUGCCAUCAGCUUUCUUGGCAAUAUCCUCAAGCCGCUAUUCCAAGAACCGGAUGGAAUCAGGAACUUCCACCAGGUAGAGCAUCUGCUCUUCGAUUCUCAUAAGUCGCUCAUUAUGGGUCUUGCUAGACUGUUUCGCCACCGACAUCUUUCUGUCUCGCACUGUCAACUGCCAACUUGGCUCUGAUACCAGUUGUCACAAUUGUAACCCUUCAAACACGAUGUGAACGAUUGUGCGACACUUGUUCGAACUCGACGAACAAGUCAGCCGAUCAAAAUCCGCAAAUCGCGGACAACUUUAACACACGCUUCAACCUUCCCUCACGUUCUUGGAAAAAUAUUUUUAGAAAACGUAAAAGAUGAUUAAUUUGAUUGAAAACGUUGUUAAAACAAGCAUUGAAGACUGUCAAUUCUUAGUUCUGUCCCGAAACAUCCAAAAAAGGGUCGAUGUUAUGGCCUAGAAAGAAACCACCCAGCUUAGAACAAUGUCAGAGGUCCUGAAAGUUCACAUCUACCUGUCGGAUGGCCACAUUCCGAGUAAUAAUAAAGUUUCUUGCCCACAAAAGCCGAACGGCGAUGGCCCGACCUCGGUUUUUUAGUUUCGUCCCGAAACGUUGAAAAAAGGGUCGAUGUUAUGGCCUAGAAAGAAACCACCCAGCUUAGAACAAUGUCAAAGGUCCCGAAAGUUCACAUCUAACUGCUGGGUGGCCCCAUUCCGAGGAAUAUCAAUAUUUCUUGCCGAAAAAAAUCAAACGACGAUGUCCAGACUUGAUUUUUUAGUUCCGUCCUGAAACGUUGAAAAACUAAAAUAUUAAAAUAUUGCUAUGAAUCAUAUAUUUACUCAUGGUUUUUUUUUCUUUUUGUUUUUAUUUAAGUCUUGAGUGUCUAAGAAUUAUUUGAUAUGGUACGAGUCUUCAAAAGUCACAUCCUUUUCAUUUUCUCUUUUAUAGGAUGAGUCAUCAAGACUCAUCUUUCUACACUAGAUCUCUAAUAAGUUCUAAAACAAUUUUUUCUGAGACGACUUUUGCAGGUUGAAUGGUGUUGUUUAAAACCAAUUUGAAUUGUUGAAGUCCCUUAACUUCCUAAGAUGUCUCUCCAUAUCUUGUCUAGUUUUGGUCCUCUAUUCUUUCUCGAUUACUGUGGUCGGGUCAUCUCGUUCACUCUAGAUUGCAUUGAGAGUAUAGGGGAUUAAGCAAUAAACAAAGCAUAAAAUGCUCAUAAAAUGCUAAUGAAAUCUGGUAGAUGAGAAACGGAUAUCGAAUGGAUGAUCUUGAAAGAGUUUCCAUUGUCCCAAACUACGAGCAAGUCGCUUCUCCUGUCCCUAUCUCUUACUUCUGUUACUGUGACUGUGUUAGAGCAAAAGGAAGUAGUUUAAACCCUUUUAACAGACUAGAAGCAGCUUGAAAUCUUCAAUUCGACUUGAAGUUUAGAACUUCACUUAUUACUGAAACAGUGCAAAAGCCAAGAAAAAAAAGUCUUACCAGGACUUUUGCCCUAGUGAUUGACUUGGUUUUUGAAUCAAUUACAUAUAUUUUCUCAAAAUCUAGGAUAAAUUCAGGGUCCCACAGCCUUCGAUUUUUGAAGUGCUUCGUCAAGAAAACCUGCAAAAGAUAAAUGAAUUGUUUGCACAUUCUUAUAUCUUUUGUCCACAUUCCCAUCCUGAAGAGAAGACCAUCACAUGCAUAAUAUUCUUAAAUUUCAAACGUCGUUGAGUCAAUGAACGUCACUUUGUAUAACUAUGCUAGCUACUUCUAUUCUAACGUAUCGCGGCGAAACCUAUACUCGGAUUUACAAAGAAAUGGAAGAGUCCAUUAAAUUAUCAUCACUUUCACUAGAAAUAGAAAAAUAGAGUGAACAAUCAUCAAAUUCUUAAGUCCAACCUUACCUUAAGAACCUCCUUUUCAGACUUGUAUAAUGGAUCUCUAGGUGCAUCAAUAGGUGGUUCUAUGACAUUGUAGCAUCCAUAAUCACUCUAAGCACAUCUAAUAUACUGCAGUUGUGAAGAAAAGUAUGAUCAUACACUACUGAAAUUCCUUAAAAUCUUAUUUUGGUCCUUGAACUAUGAUGUUUGUUCCAUAUUGUUCUAUUAACUUUUAAUUAUUGUGUUUAAGUCCCUUAACCUUCAAUAAGUCAGUUUUAGUCUCAGAUUUCUUCAUCAAAUUAACUGUUAACUUACCAACCGUUCUUCCACAAAAACUUAAAUGACCGUCUGUAAACAUUUGCCGACUGACUAAAUGAACAUGCUAAAUUGAAAUCUGUUUAUAGAAAAUGAUUGAAACUUUUCACAAAGGAGAUGAACAGAGACUAGUGCUUCAACAUACAAAAGGAUACAACAAAAACAUAGCAUAAUGUAAACAAUUAACCACAGAGGAUUAAAGUAAAUGUGGUAAGACUGAAGUAAUAAGACUUCAAAAAGUAAAUGAAAACUUAGAGAGGCGUGAUAAAUGCCGGCCAAUUGCACUAGUUAUUGUUAAUGUAAAGUUAAUGAAAAUGGCUAAACUAACAGGUUAAGUUUCUGUUCAUUUGUUAGUUAAAAACUAAUGAAAAUGGUUGAAACGGGUUUUUAAUCUAGAGUUCAAGACUAAAACAUAAUAAUUUACACCAUUUUAUCAUGUAUAUAAAUGCAAAGAAAGAACAAUAAUACCUUUUGAGGCAUUGGAGGGAGCAAGAACUUUGGGGACGACAUAAACAUCAGUAUCCGGAGGAGUAACAUACAUCUACAACCAAGAAACACAUCAACGAAAACUUUUUUUAACUAUCAAAUGAAUCUGAUAAAGCCAAGUUUGAAAUGAAACUAAGCAAAUUUUGCCACUAACCUCUCUAAAAUCAUAAACAUCGCUGUUGGAAUCCGACGACUUCCUAAUGAAGAAAUGACAGUGCAUAAAACUAAUCUUAUGAAAUUCCUCCUCAUUUAUCCUAUAAUCCACAAUCAUCUCCGAAUCCCAUCCCUGUGUGAACACGAAGCUUUUGCUCUGCACAAUCGAGAUAUUCUCAUCGCCAACGUCGUCGGAACCCGCUGCUGCAGCUAUCGCGGCGACUAGGGGAUCGUACUCGAUGUCGAAAUCUUUGUUGCUGUUGAAUUCCUCCAUUUCCUCAUCGUCCAUGUCGUAGUCAUCGGGACCACCACUAUCACCGUUGCCAUCGCCGGAGAAGACUCGACAAGGGUUUCUUCUAGGGAGGAAGAGAGGAGAUGCAGAUGGAGUGGAUUUCCGAUAGGGCAGGCUUGGGAGGUGGGGAAGAGAGGUUGCGGAGGAGAUGGAGGAGACUCAAAGAUGGUUGAUUGUGGGGGCGGCAACGACGAGGAGAGGAGGAAGACAGUGGAGUUCAUGAGGACGCAAACUCUGUUAAGCGGGCACCGAAGAAUUCGAACGCUCUUGUGUUGAGUUUGUUGAUGGACACUGUCAGGUGGAUAAUGUUAAAAAUAAUUAAAAUGAAUAUUUUUAAAAACAUUCAAAAAAAUCGUUAAUAUUAUGAAAAUGGUCAAAUACUGUCAGUUUUGGGUCUACCAUUUAAAAAAUAGCAUACAUUUUUUUUAUAUUCGUCUGUUUUUCUCACAGAGACUGCUUUUUUCACAGCUUUAGCCGAAUUCAAUUAUGAGAUUUCUUAUUUUGUAUUUAAAAUUUAAAAUAAAUGCUAUUAUACAAUUACCAAAAUAUUUUCCAGCAAACAAUUUCAUAUAGUUGUGAAAAUAGGAACUCAUUUAGGUUAAGUUUGAACUUCAUUACUCUCAAAAUCUCUUAGAUUUAUUGAUUUUUGUGUGGGCAAAAUUGUUCUGUGUAUCCUCAAGCAUUUAAGUCUUUACAUGUAUUCUGCCUUGAACAAUUUGAUAGUUUAGAGCUUUUUUAAAGUUUUGUUAUAGGUUUUUUUUUUUUUUUUUUGUGAAAUAUGAGGUGGCUGGAAUAUAAGUAGUUGGAUGUGUGCAUAUCUCAUUUUUAAAUUUUUUCUGGUGGUGAUCUGAUGAAUGUCAUAAAUUUCAUCAACCUAGGCUCAUUUAGAUUAGGAAUCUCGCCUGAGAUUGUUGAAAUUGGACUGAGAUUUGUUGAAUGAGUCUUGAGAUUGUUCUACGUUUGUGUUCAUAUGCAUUAUGUGUUGGUUAUCGGGCUAGAUUUCACCCGAGAUUAACCAAGAUACAUCAUAGGAUGCAUAUAAAACACUAAUAUCGUGACAUCACAUGUAAAUAACCCAAGUACAUAGUGAAUUUAUGUUGUUCUUGACCGAGAUUGGAUCAAGAUUCCCUUGAGUUCUAAGACAAAGUACUUAUUUUCUUAUGUUACCUGUGUUCUCUGUUUGGUAAAUGCCUCUUGUCACUAAAAUUUGCAAUUCAAACAUUUUCCUUCCAAAAUUGACAUGUUCUCACUCGGCGAAAACUAUCUCCAAUAUUAAAAACAAGUUAACUCCUAGGCAAUUGUAUAUGUUUAGGAAAACUCCAUUCAAUCAUUUCUUGGACAUUAGGUUGAUGAUCAGUGGAUCUUUGUGUCAUUACAUCUUGUUAAGAGAGUUUGAGGAUGAUCGAUGUGACAUUAUCAAUUUUAAAUUUCUCAGAAGGUGUCUUUCAGACAAGAAGAUUUUGGCAUUAUUACGAGGUUGAGGUUGAGGUAUAGGUGAAGACAUGUUGUUGAGUUUGAACAGGAUAAAAGCUCUUAGAUUGAGACGCUUAUAUUUGGUUGGUAGGGCAAACAUGAAUGGGUCUAAAUUGGGUAAAGAUUACCAAAACCUUCAAUUUGAGAGUUACAAGCCUACGGUAUGAACCAUUUUUGUUCUUCUAAAGUUAUUUUUGUCACGAAUGAAUUAACCAUUUCUGUUCAAAUACCUAUAGUGACAAUAUUUUUUUAUAUUUUAUUAAGUUAUAUUUUCGAAACAAGAGUAUUUUAUGAUACAAAACAUUAAAGUUUUUCAUCUAAAUGCAACUGUAAGGGGCCGUUUGGGGGAAAGAAAUGAAUAAGGGGGAAAAGAAUAAGGAAAAUGGGGGAUUAAGUGGAGGAAAGGAUUAUUAUAAUCCUUGUUUGAGGGAAGGAUUAUGAGGAUUAUUUAUAAUCUUUGUUUCGGAAAGGAUUAAGUGGAAUGAUUGUGAGAGAUUAUUUAUAAUCUGGGAGAAGAUUAUGUCAGAAGGAUUAAAACCAAAAUUGUAUUUUUUUUAUUAUUAUUUAUACAUUAACCUGAAUAUGAGAUUAAAUGUAGAAUUGUUUUUUUUCCUGUGAAUGAAAUUCUUUGUUUUUUUCGUGAACCCUAUACAAAAUGAAAAAUGUGCUAAUAUAUGUUGCAAACUUUGUUGAUACCGUUAAAGCCUCAACAAAAAAUUGUAUUCAAAUUAAUUUUUUUAGUUAACCGUAACCCAAGCGUUCACAAAAAAACACGAAUUGAUUUUUUUUUUGUUAAUUUUGUAUAAAUAUUUUUUUUACUACAAUAUCCCUAAUACACUUUCAAAAUUGAAUUAGAUGUUUUCCAUGUGUACGAUAUGCUUAUGGAAUGAUUUCCAUAAACCAAAUACAAAAUAAAAUAUGUAUUAAUUUUUUUUGCGUUUGUCUAAACUUAUUUAUUUUUUUCGUACGGUUUUCAAGAAACGACGAAUAUUUAUAUUAAAAUAAUGUUUAUAUUUCAUUUCAACUGUAACCUCAACACACAACACAUAUGUAUUAAUUAUAAAGUUGAUUUUGUAAAAAACAAAUUUGGACCAUACGCGCAAUACACAAUACAAACAAAUUGUAUUAUUUUUUUCUAUUUGUGUAAACUAUGUUUCUCAAGUUAUACCGUAAAUAGAAGGCAAAAAAAAAAAAAAAAAUCUAAGUUUGUAUCGUCAAUCAUAUAGAAUAAAAAAUUGGAUUACGUUGGUUUUAUUUUAUUUUUUUCCAUUUUGAAGAUUUCUUUUUUCAUAUAUUAAUUUUUUUUCUCCAUGAGAACGAUGAGCAACAUAAUAGCGGUUAAAGCCAACGACUAUUUUUUUGAAUUGCAAUUAACGAAAAACAUAACGGGCUAAUGCAAACUACAUGCAAGAGCUUACCUAUCUCACCACUUGGCAUUCUUAGUGGGGUAAGUGUCCUGCAUGCAAUAAGCCACUUGCAUAUCACAUGCAAGUGAUAAGCUUACCAAAUCUUAACAAAUGUUAUUAUUUAAAUUAGUCUAAGGACAAUAUGGUAAUUCAACAUUUAAAUCAAAUUCAAAGUUCGAGUUUUUCAAGCCCAAAGUCAACAUUUUGACUUUUAACCAUUUUGUCCAUCUUGACUAAUUUCAACCUUCCAAGCAUCAAUUCGUAUAAAUUUCUUCAAAAUUUAAAUCACAUUUGAAUAUAAAGUCAUCCAAAGUUUGAUUUUUCAAAGUCAAAAGUCAACAUUUUGACUUCUUACUUCUUUACCAUUUUCAUCAAUUUUGAGCUUCCAAAUAUGAAUUCAUAUUCAUAUUUAAAUUACAUUUAAACAUGAAGCUUUAUCUUAAAUUAUAAUCGAUGACUAUAUUCUAAUUCUAACAAUUCGAAUUAUUCCAUCAUAAUGUUCUAAGUUGAUUCCUUAUGAGCUAGUGGGGGAACCUAAUGGAUCUAUAGAUCAAGGGUUCUAACGAUCUGAGAUUAACUGACUAAACUGUUUAGAUCGAGUUAAUCAACCUUCGUUAACUAAUGAGUCAUUCCACUAAAGUCCCGUAGUUGCACUCCCCUCACUAUAGAUAUAUUUGUGUCCAUGUGAUAUGACAUGAUAAGUAAGUUAAUCUUUCACAAGUUGUUCAUGAUCUCGACUGGGUCAAAGCACUGUUUUACCCCGACAUUAUAUCUUUUUUCUUUAAGUCCCACUGAUCCACUAUUAAAUAAUUGGUUUUAGGUCCAACCUAUAAACUGAAUCCCUCUCGGGCCAAUGAAAGGGUGGGGCCCUUGUUCAAGACUUGGAUUCAAUCAUUAAGGGAACAACCUAUCUACUAACCCUAGAGUGGUAGGAGUGAAUUCCGUCUUGCACCCUAUGUCCCUAGCUAUCCACCCGAUCUUACCCCUGAAAUGGGAGGCUUAUUGAGCCAACGCCAUUGAGCUCCCUCACUUAUGCAGAUCUAUCAAUAAUUUCACGUGAACAGAAGUUCAUAGUUAGUUCAUUUUUAAAAUUAAGUUACAUUGGAUAUCUAUAAACGAAAUAGUCAGUUUUACAAAGUUAACGGUGUUAUAACUUAAAAGCGACUAUCUCAUGGUUCCAGUCUUAUGUCAACUCUUUACAUAGAAUGCCCCCACUUCCAUGUCUCUUACCCUAUUUUAGCGACUUACCCUAUUUUAGCGACUUCUAUAGGUCGAGCUAUUCAAACCUCUCUUGAAUUCUUGUAAACAAAGGGAUCAGUCAAGAAUCCAAAAUAGUUAUUAACACACACCGUCGUAAAGAGAGAGAGAAAUUCCCUUAUUAUCAUAAUCCUUUUUUCGUGAUCGAUCAUCUCUCAAGAAUAUCUCUGUCUUAUGGCACCUCUCCUUUCCAACUAAAGAAAGUCAAAGAAGAGGAGUAGCAACUUCUUAGGGAUCUCAGUUCUGCAAAAGCUAGAGAAAGCCUAUGCAAAAUCAACCACAACAGCAAAAGAAUGUCCUUCAGCAGCAAGGUGAAAAGGAAUAUUGCAUCCUUCAUUGAUUUGCUUAAGGGGCUAGUUAAGGAGUCUCCUCAUUUAACCUCUCAUUCUCAAAGUUCGCCUCUCUUAUGCUUUUUGAUCGAUCUGAGAUGAGAACAACUGUGAUUAAGACAAUGAUUGCAUAAGGAAAGACAGACCCUAUCGUUAGAGAUAUUCCCUACUCAAUUUGGAUCCAAGGGAAAGCUUCUUCUUGAAAUAGUACUUUUGACUACUCACUUUCAGUGAUCGUAACCUAAUGGAUGGAAGAAUUUCGUACCUCCUCAAAGGAAAGAUUACAUUGGGGUCCGUCCCACUCUUUCAAGGCCUUUCUUCUCAGGCAUAAAGAUAGGGCUUUCUUUAGCACUAUUGUGAUUUACUACUACAGGGUAGUGUAGGCUACCGUCCUUAUGCUUUUCUGUGGAUUUAGAAAGCACUUGAACAGUUUCCACAUUCGCUGUGAAAUGAGCUCCAACAAACUUUCCUUUCUUCCUUUGAGGCCUGAGACAGGUCAAUGAAUAAGGGCUACAAUUCUUAUAGUUCAUAAAGAAAUUCACUCUUUAGUCUAUUCCCAAUCCUAGUCCUUUGAGAUUCUUUAGGUUCUGUGUACUAGACGUCGUCGACCCUCUCAAACGUGGAAAAGACUCUUUCCUCACUCAUUGAGCUUGAAAAAGUAGCCCACGUGGCGGUAUUCAGUCUUCACCCCCACUCUGCGGUUGAGGCAUUUGUUCUCGAAGGAGAAGGAUAGUCGCUCAACAAAGUUUACGAACAAGAAGGCGCCAUAGGCGGGAACAAAGAAUAUUGCUCAAAGGUUUUAGCUUUAUUUCUAUGUGGGCCACUCUUUUUCCAUGGAGGCAAGGACCAUCUCAAACUACCUUAGAAGAGGCAGGAAUUAAGAGACAGUGUCUGCUCUCGUGGCGGCCUUAUCUCUUCUUAUGGCACUUCUACCAUUGGAGGUUUCAAUCCUUCUUCUUUUGAAAGAGAAAGAUGCCUUAUGCAUGCAUUGGCCUCUAGCAUAUUUCUUUAUUUAUUGUCAUAUGUCAAUUUUUCUCCCCUGGUUUUUCUUUCUAUUUGCCUUAUCAAAUAAGAAGCGCAACCCUCAACAAAGGCGACACCUUAAACAAGGGCUACUGCCUCUCCCUCUACAUCCCUUUCCUUUCUUUAAUGGGGGAAAGAUUGUCAGAGAUCUUAUUCAAGAUCUAAACUCUGGAAAGGAGUGCCUCCUUUCCUUUCCCUUCGCCUUCAUAAGUCAGGCUAUGAAAAUAGAUUGUAAGUGAACCGCUUACCAUUCAGACUGAUCUAGGAGACGGGUCGAGGUGUGGAGUUUUCUUCUUUCUUGCUUUGAUAUGUCCCACGGUCUUUUGAGCUAGUCUACUUUCUCUCUGCGGUUAGCUUCAGAAACUACCCCACUGAGAGGUGGAGUAUAACCUUUCCGGGAGAUCGAUACCCUGAUCUCGCUCAAGUAAUAAGAAGAUAAAGUGCUCAAGACUAUGUAAGAAGAUAUGAAAAAAAAUUGAAUUUUGAAAGCUCUGAUCUUUCAUACUCUUAAUUAUAUCCACGAAGCGGUAGGCUGAGCACCUUGAUGUAUAGGCCUUAUGAAUAUGAGCGAUAGCUUCCGAUAUGGAAAGGGGAAAGCAGGACCCACUUGAGGGUCAAGAAAUAAGAAGAGAAGAUAGAGUAAAGUCGAGUCCUCUAAUUCUCAUCCAUUUCUCCAACUUCGUCUCCUCAACUGCGUAAACUGUAGGUCUCUUUCUUCUCCUCGUUCAUAAUGCACACCUCUUCCCUUCUCAUAAUAAUCUUUUGAAUAGUCAAGAUCAUCAUAAAAAGCCUUGUUAGUCUUGUCUCAACUUCUCCUACUCACUCGAGCCUAACUACUCUCCUUCUCUUUCUUUCAUACUAAGUUGAUAGUGAAAAGAGAGAAAAUUACUAGUUGGGACUUCGACCUUUAAUCAUAGAUCUCAUGAAAGAGAUAAGGCUACUUCUCUUUCUGCAACUGAAAGAAGAAGAAUCGCGACUGCCAAAAUCCCUCCCACGGGAUGAAAAUAAUACUUUUAUUUAUCCACAUUGAUAAAAGAAAGUUCAAUAUUCUUUUUUUAGUGGAAUAACACUCGUCCUCUUACAUACUCGUUCUUCCAGUCGUCUGAACCAAGAAUAUCCUUGUCUUAUGGAGCUUUGUCUCUGCACAAACAUUAUUUUUCAUAGUCGAAUAAAAUAUCAAAAGAGAAAGAGAGAAUCAUUUAUGAAGAAGAAAUCAUUCUCAAGCUCUUCUUUUUCUCUCUCUUCUCAAUGAAUCGAGUCUUCGAACCUGCGAAAGUGCUCAAGAUUAUUUAAGAUAGAAUAAUGAAAUAGUAGUUUCUCAAGCUCUUAUUAAAGACAUAAGUCGUUUAUUACCACAUUCCGAAAGAGAUUAUGAAAGAGAAAAGAUAAAUGAAUGAAAUAUUCCUAAUCCAUAAAUCUCAGGUGAAGGACUAAUCAAAUGAGUUCAAAGAGAAGAAGAGGUCAAUUGCAGAAAAGAAUGAACUUAUGAGCUGGAGAUGGAAGAGCGAAGAAGAUAGGAGGCCAAGCCAAGAGUCAUCAAGAAGCCGUCGGAUCCCAAAAAGAAAGGUCUAGAUGAAAAGGAAGAAAAGGAAAAGGCCGAGUAUUUUGUCCUAGUUAAGCCUAAGACCUAGGUGAAUGAAUCUUGAAGGGUGCCUGAUUUGCCUAUUAGGUAGUAGUAGUCUUGGUUUCAUUGUAUUCCCCAUAUCGAAAGGAAGUUCAGCCUAGGGUUAGGUGCUUUUUCCUUAUUUAGCCCAUGGAGCAGAGCAUAUGAGUCCUUUCAUGUAUCAGAGUUGCUACAGAAGAUCGACUGACUCGAUCCUCUGAUCCUACUCUACAUCACAGAGAAAUAAAGCAAAAAAUCUUCUUUCCCACGCACCUCACGUCAGCUAAGGUUAUUCUUUCUUCCCAUAUAGUGGGCUGACUUUGCACCUAAAUGAUAGAACUAAGUCAUGCACAGCGGAAAAAGAAUCGAAUUUCUACCCUAAUUGCCACAAUUAACAUGUAACCAUAAACUAAUCAAAUUAGGGUUUUAAGAAAUAUUACCUUUGAAGCUUUCAAAAGGUUUGAUAUCUUCUUACCAAUUCUAACCGAGACCACCACUAGUACUCAACUGCUAUCCUCUAGACAAAGAACCGGGUUGUGGGACCCAACUUUGGUGUAGAAAGUAAUGGAGAUAAAAUGGGAUUGUAAGGUUUUUUUUUUCUUUUGUUGAGAUGAUGAAAAUGAUAAAAGAGGCAAAAGUUCUUCAACAUUUGAAAACACCUCUAUUUAUAACCUAAUUACAUGCAAAAAUGCAUGCAAUUCAUUUGCCAAAUCUCAACCCCUAAUGUUCCACUAACAAUUAGUGGAACUUAGUGGGCUAGGUGUCUAUAUCUCAUAUAGCCACAUAUCCCACUAAGAGUUAGUGGGAUUAUCCAAUAAAUGUUGGAUUUUCCCACUAACUUAGUCCAAGGGUAAAAUGGUCAUUAGAUAUUUCUAGUCAAAAGUCAAACUUUGACUUUUCUUAGUCAAAAGUCAAUAUUUUGACUUUUUACCAUUUUGUCCGUCUUGACUAAUUCCAACCUCCCGAGCAUGAAUCCGCAUUCAUUUUUCCAAAAUUCAAAUCACAUUUGAAUAUAAGGCCGGUCAAAGUUUGACUUUUCAAAGUCCAAAGUCAACAUUUUGACUUUUUACUAUUUUUGACCAAUUCCAUCAAUUCCGAGCUUCUUAGUAUGAAUCCGCAUUCAUACUUAUAGUAUGUAAAACAUAAAAGCUCUAUUUCUAAUUAGAAGACCGACGACUAUAUCACUAUAUUUGUCGGUUUCCCUUUCUUCUCCCAAUUCGAACAAUUCGACUUAUUUCAUCACACUGUUCUAAGUUUAAUCCAUAUGAGCUAGCAGAGGAACCUAAUGGACUAUAGAUCAUGGGCUCCAAUGAUUCAAGAUUAACUAGCUAAACUCUUUUUAAACCGAGUUAAUCAACAUUCGUUAACUAACAGGUCAUUCCACUAAAGUCUCGUAGUUGCACUCCCCUCACUAUAGAUAUAUUUGUGUCCAUUUGAUAAAACCAUAAUCAGUAAGUUAAUUCCUUCACAGGUUGCUCGUAACCUUGGCUGGGUCAAAAUAACCGUUUUACCCCCAAGAUUACAUCUUGCUCCUUAAGUCCCACUAAUCCACUAUUGAACAAUUGGUUUAAGGUUCAACCUAUAAACUUAAUCCCUCUCGCGGCCAAUGAGAGGGUGGGGCCCCUUGUUCAAGACUUGGAUUCAGUGCUUAAGAGAACAACCUAUCUACUAACCCUAAAGCGGGUAGGAGUGAAUUCCAUCUUGUACCCUAUGUUCCCAGCUAUCCACAUGAUCUUACCCCUGAAAUGGGAGGCUUAUUGGGCCAACGCUGAUGAGCUGCCCUCACCUAUGCAGAUCUAAGGAUAAUCUCGUGUGAACAGGAGUUCAUAGUUAACUCAGGAUUAAGACUAAGUUACCUAGGUCAUCAAUAAUUGAAAUGGGGAGAAUCUCAACCUUAAUUUUAUUUUAAAAUAAAUUUCAAAAUAACCAAUUUAUUAAUUUUUGAAUUGGAGAAUCUCAACUAUUGAUUUUAAAACGCAAUUUCAAAAUAAUCCCAAUUAUUAUUUUGAAAUUUAGAAGAAUUUCAACCAUUGAUUUUAUUUCAAAACAACGUUUUAAUACCAAAAUAACAUUGAGCUCAACCACCAAAAUAACCAAUUUAUUAUUUUGAAUUAAAAUUUUAUUGUCAUUUUUUUCAAGUGAGAACUUGCUUAUUUGUUUGUUUUCCAAUGUUUCUUAUUCUUAUUAAAUUAUAAUUAACUUAUUCUAAAAAUAUAGCAUAUUAUAUAUAUAAAAACAAUUAGUUUAAUUGUGUUUAGGAAGAUUUUAAACCAUGUUCAUUGACUUAAUAACAUUACUUAAAUUAUAAUUUCUAUCGAUAUUAGUUUAAAAGUGUAAUUAUUUCAAAUUACUGCGGUCUUAUCAAAAGUCUUUUAUGUGUAAUUAAUUUGCAAUAGACAGUUCUGAGUUUAUCAAAGUUUUUCAUUAUAAUUAAUUUAUGAUAUGCAAUUAUGAGUAUGCAAUGGGGAGAAUCUCAACCUUAAUUUUAUUUUAAAAUAAAUUUCAAAAUAACCAAUUUAUUAUUUUUGAAUUGGAGAAUCUCAACUAUUGAUUUUAAAACGCAAUUUCAAAAUAACCCAAUUAUUAUUUUGAAUUUAGAAGAAUUUCAACCAUUGAUUUUAUUUCAAAACAACGUUUUAAUACCAAAAUAACAUUGAGCUCAACCACCAAAAUAACCAAUUUAUUAUUUUGAAUUAAAAUUUUAUUGUCAUUUUUUUCAAGUGAGAACUUGCUUAUUUGUUUGUUUUCCAAUGUUUCUUAUUCUUAUUAAAUUAUAAUUAACUUAUUCUAAAAUAUAGCAUAUUAUAUAUAUAUAAAACAAUUAGUUUAAUUGUGUUUAGGAAGAUUUUUAAACCAUGUUCAUUUGACUUAAUAACAUUACUUAAAUUAUAAUUUCUAUCGAUAUUAGUUUAAAAGUGUAAUUAUUUCAAUAUACUGCGGUCUUAUCAAAAGUCUUUUAUGUGUAAUUAAUUUGCAAUAGACAGUUCUGAGUUUAUCAAAGUUUUUCAUUAUAAUUAAUUUAUGAUAUGCAAUUAUGAGUAUGCGUGUUAAUAAGGUAGAGAAUCAUAUCCUAACCUCUUCCUAAUAUCUCGGGAUUAAAAAAAUAUCAAUAACUUUAUUCAUUUUUUUAUUUCACCACUAUUAAAGUUCUUAACAACUUUAUUCAUUUUUUUAUUUCAAAAUAAUCAUAUUAUUAAUUUUUAUUGGCUAAAUCUUAAUCUUUUCGUCAAUCUUUAAUAAAUUGUAAAUUAAAAUUAGUUUUCUAAUUAGAUCUUAAUUUACUUUUAAAUUUGAAUUUGAAAAUUAAAAUUAGUUUUUGUACGAAGAUCUCAAUUUUUUUUUAUUAUUUGGAAAUUAAACCUCACCCUUUUUUUGUUUCAAAAUAAGUUGAAUCUUUUGAUCCUUAAUAAUUUAAAAAUUAAAAUUAGUUUUCAUAUUAGAUCCUAAUUUAUUUUUCCAAUAAAAUAGAUAUUGUGUUUUUGUAUAAAAUCUCCCAAAUUUUAUUAAAUAAUUAAUAUAAAUAUAUAUAUAUAUAUUUAAAAAUCAGCAAAAAAAUUUAUAAGAGACGAGGAAGAUAACUUUUGUAUCUUUUUAAUAUUAUGAAAAUUUUAAUAUGAAUUAUUAAAACACAAAAAAAAUAUCUUGUUUUGUUGUUUAUGUCUCAAUCUACAAAAUUUAGGAGUAUUAAUAUUAGAAUAAAAUUUAUAAUCUACCUAAAUUUUGUCAAGUAAAAUCUUUAAUUAAAACAAAUAUGAAGUUAAAAUAUUUUUAUAAGGGAUUGAGCUAAGAAAGCAGUACUCUUUGACGUAGUCUAGCUAUUAAGAGGGAAAGCAAAGUUCUCUUAGUUUUUCUUAUUUAUUCGCGUUCUUCUCAAUAAAUAACAAAUCAAUUCUAUUUUUUUUCUUUUUAACCGUCGAGAACUUCUCAAAGAUUAACCUUUUAAAAUAUUUAAAAAAAUACAUUGAAUUUAUAUUUUGUUUAAUUAUAGAUUUUAUUUGGAAAAUUGUGAAAGAUAAUGUUUGUUUAUAAUAUAUUUAUAAAAAUAUUGAACUUUUAAAAAUAUUUAUAAAAAUAUAUUGAAUUUAUAUUUUGUUUUAAUUAUAGAUUCUAUUUAGAUAGAUAUUAUUAGUUUAGAAAAUAUUUAUCAAAAUUUUGAAUUUUUGAAAAUAUUUAUAAAAAUAUAUUGAAUUUAUAUUUGUUUUAAUUAAAGAUUUUACUUGACAAAAUUUAGGUAGAUUAUAAAUUUUAUUCUAAUAUUAAUACUCCUAAAUUUUGUAGAUUGAGACAUAAACAACAAAACAAGAUAUUCUUUUUUGUGUUUUUAAUAAUUCAUAUUAAAAUUUUUGGAGUGAAGGUUUUUGUUUUUCCACUCCAAGCGUUUGAGAUUGUAGGUUGUAGACUUGAAAAUCAAAGAUAGAAGAUGAAAAAUGAGAUAAUAUUUGCAUGCUUCAAAUGUUUAUAUUAUUUUUUUUGAAAAUGCAUGAUGAAGUUUCUUUUUUAAAAUGCAUGAUGGAGUUGAAGAUAAACCUCAAACUUCAAACGAAAGAGGGUAGAGAUUGGAGGUUGCCGCUUCAAGGUGGAAAGAUUAGGCUUUGUCCACUCGAGAAAGAUGAGAUCAAAAAUGAAAAAUGGAUAUGAAGGAAGAGAAAAUGGAAGAUGAGAAACGAAAAAUAAAAAAAAAUGUAUUUAUUAUAUUUUAGGGUAGUUUACACUUUAUCUACUUAAUGGUAUUUUGGGUUUUUGCAAAUUCUUAUUUAUUGUUUUUCUUUUUUUCAUUUGGUCAUUUUUUAACUUUAAAAUUGCUAUUAUUUAAAAGUAUGUUUUUGGAAAUUUUUUUAGACACCAACGCGAAGCACUGGAUAGGCUCAACUUCCUUUCACAAAACCCUUCAGCCAUUCACACUCUCAAUCUUUCAUCCCUCCAAUUUCUCACAAAAUCCUCUCUCUCGUCGGACUUCCAUCGACACAGAAAGUAAUCGAAGCAACUCUCCAACUUCUGAAGCCCAAACCAUUUGCUGGAGCUAAUGUGUUCGUCUCUCGUAAUCUUGUCGCUUCGGAGAUGUUCGAUCCUUUUCACGACGCUCUCAAGCAGAAUGGGGCUGAGGUUUUCCUCUGUUGCGAUCCCUCUCAAAACGCCCCUAACGACUAUCAUGUUAUCUCCUCCGCCGAUCACGUACCAAACGUCUCAUCCAUUUCUUGUUCAAUUUAUAUGGCUACUUCGGAUUGGCGAUGUGUUUAUUGGUUGUUGAUUCCUGCUUUCAGGCAAAGUUCGAGGAUCUUCGCGCCAAGGGAUGCAACUUGUUAGGUAUAGUUAAUUUGUAGUUCCAGCCUUUUCUUUCUUUCUUUUGCGGAAUAGAAUUGGAGAGAAAUUUUACUGGAGAACGAGAUUAACAGGAAAUUGAAUGUCUCCGUUAAUUUGUCAAAUGUAUAGUUACCGCAUUGCAGUUAAUAUUUGUCAGUGCAUGCUGCAUGUACGCAGUAGCCGAGUAAUAUAUACUUCACUGCUCUCUCUUUCCGAAUAGCCAAACAUAGUUGUUUGAAAUUCUCAUUUCAGUCCGACGCCGGGGAUUUGGUGCGUCGCUGACAACUUGAAUUUCUGUUGGGAAGGUCCUCAGUGCGUGAUGUCAUGUGCAAAAAGAGCACAGACCUCUUCCUCAACAGGGUUAUACUUGCUGCCUUGCCAUGGAUGGUGUGAAAAUCUUGGCAUCCGGUUUUCAGGAAGAUGAAAAGGUACGUGCAAAUGUUCCUAGUCCACCCAUCUUUUUUCUUAUUAGUAAUUAGUAAUUUUAUUUUUGUAGAACUAAUGACACAAAAUUGCAUUGCAGGUUGAGAUAGGGAAGUUAGUUAGUGCAAUGGGGGAGUAUUGCAUACGAAAGCAUCACUAGAUGUCAGUUUUGUUAUCGAAGAAUGCUUUGGCUGCGAAAUACAAGGUCAUGUUGCUUGAACUUUCGAUUUUCUUGACGUGAUAUGUAUGUGUAUUAGACCAUUUCAUGAAUAUCACGUGAAUCAUAAGAUUUGAGUCAAUUAAACUCCACAAAAUUCAUUUUUCAAUCAAUUUAGACCUUUAAUCACGGUUACCUUUAAAUUGAUCUAAUUGAUAUAACAUAAGUUUCACACGAAAUUUUUCAAAAUGAAUGUAAUAGAGGGCGUAAAUUGAUACACUAACAAAAGCCAGGUUUAAAUUGAUACAAUCUCUACAGUUUAGGGUGUAAAUUGAUAUUCUCCCUUAAUUUAAUUGUUAAAUGCGUAAUAGACUUAAUAAUGGUUUUUAGUUUUAUUCUACCUGAAAUGUUACUGCAAAGGUUUUGACAGAUACUUUCAUAUUAUUUUCUCUGUUUUCAGUGGGCACUAAACAUUUCAAAGAAACCAAUCGUGUCAUUUUCUUGGUUACAACAAUGCUGGAUUGAACAUCGUGUUGUGCCUCAGGAGGGAUAUCGGGUCCUUCCAUUUUCUGGAUUGAAUAUUUCGGUAUCUGGAAUUCCUGCAGGUUGUGUUUUAUAAUAUUUUAUUUCUUCUUAGAGAAAAUUGUUUUCUUGUAUUUCUUCUUAUUUAUGGUCCUCUUGGGGACAUCCGAUAAAAUUGUGUUAGUUCCAUCAAUUCUGGGUCUCAGGUGAGCUCAAGGAGAUGGCAAAGCUUAUCUUGCAAAAUGGUGGAAGAUAUUCUGCCGAUCUCACAAGAAAGUGUACACAUUUGAUAUGUGAUAUAUCCUUUUUGCAUUUUUUUUUCUUGGCGUUACUUUUGAUCUUUUCACUUCUUGUUGUUUGAAGCACUCAAAUUUAUGUGCUGGAAAAACAUCUUACUGCAGCUUAAGUUACAGAAUAAAUGGAUAGGGAUAAUAAAUACUACUAAAAUUAACUUUGAACAAUAUGUCUUGGGAUCUUUCAUAAGGGCCUCUAUUUCUUUUCAAGUGCUAUUAUUGGCAGUAUUUGACCGUAAUAGUUGCAACUGCUUUAGUUUGUUUCAUUGUAUUUUGAGCAUUAGUCUCUUUAAAUUUUACCAAGGAAAAGUCUUGUACUUAUUUAUUUGAAAUUGGAUCAACACUGAUUAUAUGAUUAUUAACUCAAUCAUUCAUUAUUCCUUCUCUUCCGGUAGUAAUGACCCUUCCCAUUGUUAGGCGAUUCACUUAUGAUGAUAACUAUUCUUUUAAUGAUCUUUAAUGGCUAUAUUUUCUUUUCCAUAUCUCUUAGAACAAUCCUAAAAGGAUGUGAGAUUGACACGAAUGAGGUACGGCCUCAUCCAAGAACAAAAUUGAUCACUUUUUGUCCCUUGACAAUCUCUCUAGUUUCUAGUUGAGGUUAAGUGAUGGGAAUGACUAACCACACUCACAAACGUUUAUUUGUAUGGCCAUUGCAAGCAUGCUGCUUGCAUAGACAAUCCAUUUCUAAAUAGUUGCAUAGAAUGUUUACUUAUUGGUAUUAAAUAUUCUUGUUUGAAUAAGAGGUUUUCUUUAAUGGUUAAGUAAGCUCUGAAGGUGACAAGUACAAGGUUGCACGAACGUGGGGCCGUAUCAAUAUUGUUACUUGGAAAUGGUUUGAUCAGUCCAUAGCCAGAAAAGGUAGUAGUUCGGGUUGUAUAUUUGAAGACCGAUAUGAUAUUUGAAUUGUUGGCAGUUAUUUGUCAAAUAAGUUGGCAGUUAUUUGUCAAAUAAUUUUAUUAGUUUCUAACUUGUUUCAAAUCCUUUUAUCUCGUUUUUAAUUGAUAGGAUGUCUUAAUGAGGAUUUGUACCGUGUUGGUAGCGUUUCUGGAACUUAAAAUAAAUUGACAAGGGUUUGCUUGACUGCUCACAAUGGCCAAGAAAAGGUUAUUGUGAACUCAGCUGUACCGUCCUCAUUUCUUGCCGAUUCAAAAUUCACAGCAGUUGCUGGUCCUUGGUUUUCAGACAUGGAUGUUGAAGUUACUCUUUCACAGAGCACGCCUAUGUUUUCAGAUGCUUCUCAUUUUAUAAAUGAGGUUGAUGUUGAAGUGCCAGUCGCGAUGGGAAGGAAUGAAGAAAACACUGUUAAUUACCUUGCAAAUGACUUUCCGUCUGAAGAAAACGACCUAUAUUUGUCAGCAUGUAGAAUAAAAGUUGUUGGGUUUGAAGCUUCUGAGAUGCAGAAGAUUGUAAAUAUGAUUCUCAGAGGUGGAGGCUUCCGAUACAUGUUGUUCAAUGACAAAUUAACACACAUAAUAGCAACUGGCUUGAAGAUUGUGAUCGUCAGAAGAAGGAGAUCCCUAUUCUUGGUAGACACAUGGCAUAUGAUGAACUUAUUCCUAAAGGUUUGAUAUGCAAGACUCGUAUUCUAAGCUAUCUGUCUUUUGAAUAGCAAUCUUAAACUACCAUCAUGCAGAAUAACUGCACAUUUCAUCUGGAUGCAUGACUAAUAUUUGUUUGGAGAUCCCUAGCCUGUUUGUCUUGUUCUAAAUUUUCUGGCUGUUUACUUUGCAGCAUCUAGUAAAAUGAGCACCAUUGUUAUGGAUCGGAAUAAAGUUCCAAAUGUUCAUCCAAUCGUGCCAUCAAAUGUGUCAGAAGGAAAUAUUCAUGUUAACAUUGGAAAGACGUCAAUAGCAGUGGAAAGAAUUGAAGAAAAAAAGUGAAUGGAGACAGGAAAAUGAAAUUAUCCCAGAAAAGCCAACAAUGUGUAGCAAAUGGUACAAACAAGAGUCAAGAAAAGAUGGGGCGUGAUUUCAUGGUUUUGUUUUUCUAGUUCCUUUCCAGAAGAUCGGGUAUGUUGUAAAGAUUCUUUCCUCUUAUUUCAAACAGCAUGAUUAAUGUACACUAUGCACUUUAGGUUUUAGAUGUAUUAUUGUGGUAAAUAGCAUCCAUUUUUUAAAAAAUAACAAAGUAGGAGCCCUGUAUUCAAUAUCAGUUGACUUGAGUAAAGAGUAGUUCAUUAGUGCUCCAACUCCAUGAUUUUAAAAGCAAGUCAAUGGUGCAGAUAGGAUUCUAGAUCUACCGUUUCUUUAACAAUCGGAUCCUGUUAAGAGAAUGAUAUAAAAAAAAUGGAAAAAUGACCUUUUUAGUCCCCAAUUUUAUAAAAUAGGUUUAUUUGGUCCUUGAGUUUUCAAAAUGUACUAUUUUAAUCCUUGAGUUCUCAAUGUUGUAUUGGAGACUCUCAAAACCAAUUUUUAGAAGAAGUUAUUCUACCUUAAAAAUGUAUAAAGUUAUAUUGGGGACUUUCUAAACCAAUUUUUAUAAACUCAGAGACUAAAAAGGUGCAUGACCAAGUGGGCCUAUUUUUUUAAACCUAGAGACUAAAAAGUGUACAUUUUUAAAACUUAGGAACCAAACACAUGUGUUCUUCAAAACUUGGGGAGUAUUUUUCCUAAAAAAUUUAAGAUAAUGCCAAAUGUCAUUUAUCAUGUGAAUAAUUACGAUUUCAUUUUUCAUUUGAGGAAUAUGCCUUCAAAUUUUUUUCCAUUUUAUUUUUGAACACUAACAAACGUACAUCAACUUUUGACUUCCAUAAUCCCAAAUAUUUUUUAUGUAUAUUCUGAGAUCAUAUUUGAAAUUCUCCUACUAGAGAGCUGAAAUUGUUGAAUGGAUAAAUCAAGGGGGAGGCGAGGUUGUUGAAGAUCACAUGAAGCAGAAAGUGCACUUCACUGUUGAAUGUCAUGGUGGGAUACCAAGGAGUACAGACGUUCAUAGUACUUAUGUGUCAAGUCAUUGGGUUCAAUCAUGUUUAGAGGUAAACUAUAAUAAUUAAUUGUCUUAUUUGUGAUUUCUGUUUUAGAACUCUACUAUUGGGUUUUGUUUGUGUUUCCCUUUUUGGACAUAAAAGUCCACACAAGGUUGAAUAGCAUAUUUUGUUUCAUUUAGCCACUGCAAGUUUGGAUUGUGUUUGGGUUGGAGUUUUGAAUUUUGAGGGACUUUAGUUUUGUGUUAGCCACGCUCUUAUAAUAUGAAGGAUGGAUACUAGUUUUUCCAAAACCAAACACACAUCAGUUUUCUAAGAUUACAACAACUGUUCUCCCAGCGUAAAAAAAGGUAUCCUCAAACCAACUAAAAGAAGGGGAAUAUAUGAGCAAGAUUUAUAGUUAAUAAAUCAUCAAAAGUAAAUUAGAGUUGGACUCGAGAACUCUUGCUGAUGUAUAGGAAAAGCAGACAAGGUAUGGGAAUAUAAAUUAAAACAGCCUUUAGAUGAAGAGGGCUGCUAGAACUGAUCCUACCUCAAAUGGCGCUACCAAAAUAUAGGACUUGAAUCUUCUCCCUCGCCCGUUGUUCUCGGCGAUGUUAAAGUAUCUCAAUUCAUAGACAUUCAUCUCCUUGUUUGAAGCAAUAACUCAAGGCCAAUCUCAAAUGUUGUGUUUCUUGAAAUUCUUCUUAGCCAAGUAUUUAAGAUUCCUCUUGGAGAAGUAGCUACUGAAGUUGAUGUUGAUCUUGUUCUUGUCCUGAGUGAUAGUGACUGAGUCACCAAGUGUCUCUGCCACCCAGCUUUGUUGGUGCUUUCAAGAAGAAAUGUCUCUGACGAGGUGAUGGCCGUGAUCUUGUCCUCAACUGGCAUCACACAAUCAAAUGGUCACACCCUUAUUUUUUCCCUUUGGGCCACCAGAUGCUGGUCCAUGACUCAUUCUGCUUCUGAUCUGCUACUUGUUUCCCUAACUCUGCAUCUGUAUAGAACAAUUGGCAUAAAAUGGUGGAUACUAUUAAAUUGAAAAAUGGAGAUUCAAUCAGUUCUAUCAUUUUGACCUUUUAAUGUUUAGGGGAAGGUGGUAACAUAAAUUUACCUUCUCAGACUAUCCAUUAAGGUUGGUUGGAAAAGAAAAGGGUGGUCUAUCUUGGAAAACAUAUUUGGUUGUUCUCUUUUUUCUUCACUCUGUCUACAUUUUGGAAAUAUGAAUGCUAUCAUAGUGUGAGAGGUUUCUUUAUCGACAAAAUUAAUUGGAGUUCGAAAUUUGAAGAAGUCUUUCUAUGACUGUCCCUUGAACUCCAAAGGUUUGCACUCCAUCCCUGUGCCAAACAAAUAGAUGCUUCUUAAAUAUUUUUCUGGAGGAAUUGAGAAAGUAUUGAUGCAAACUUCUGUUAAAUGCGUUAAAUUAUGGCUUUCAAGCCAAUUUUGAAUGGAUAGCUGGAGUAGAAACUGCCAUUAUUGAUGAAAUUUGAUACUACUGAUGAUUUUUAUUUUUAAUUUUAUAUUAUUAUUAAUUCCUUAACUUAAUUAUGUUCAAUAUCUUAAACCAAUAUUUGAAAUGAGAAUUGAAUAUUUAUCUUGUUUUUAUUUGUUACUGACUAUUUCAAAUAAAUUCGUUAUGAAGGAUGGAUGUUUGUGGGAUACCAAUGGGCACAUUCUCUAUUCUCCUCUUCCUUGUUGUGUCCCUUUGCCUGGAUUUGAAAACAUACGGUUUUGUGUUUCACAAUAUGAUGAUAAAGACAGAGUAUUGUUAAGAAAUCUGUGUUUUGUACUUGGGGCCAAGUUUGUGGAGAAGCUGACAAAGAAGGUAACCCAUCUAAUAUGCAAGUUCACGGAUGGGACAAAGUAUGAGGCUGCUUGUAAAUGGGGGAAACAAUGCAUUACAGCUGAAUGGAUAUAUGAGUGUGUCAGACAAGGAACUUUGCGAUUUUGUUGCUUUUCAAUUAUAUAUGUUCAUAUACAUGCAUAUCCUGAUAGAAUUCUAGACCCAUUGUGUUUAUAUUUCUUCUCUUAGAUAUGGAAUGAUUUUGUUUGAAUACAAAAUUUUCAGAGAAAGAUUGUUUCUCUUGAUUUGUAUCGCCCAAAAGAAGUUACAGCUCAAGACAGAGUGACAUGCUUGUGCACUGUCAGCCAAUUUCCUACUCAAGCUGCCCCAAUGAUAGCCAAUGAAAGCGUAUCCCAGUUUCCUAUCCAUUCUGCCAUUCUGAGAGACCAAUCAGCUGGAACUAACAGUAGCUCUAUAGGAGCAGCUGAACGAAUAAGUUCUACUAAAAGAAGGCGCAAGUUAUUUGACGAAGCCAUACAAAAGCGUUCAGUUUUUGUUGGAAACAGUUCCACUCAAUCUGACUGCAAUUUGAAUUCCACAAAACAAACUACAUCAAAAUCUUCUGUAGUAACUUCACACGUUCCUGAUGUCGCUUCCGCAAUCGAGGACUUGUUGGAGCAGACAACUAAGGUAAAAUCUGGUUUGAGCUUCAAUUCCAUUACUUCAUUCCAUUUUUAUUUUUAUUUUUUCCUUCAAAUCCUUUUGUUUUCCAUUCUUUUUAAGAUUCAAGAUCAGAAGUCACCUGGAAAGACUGGCUGCGACAAAAGUGUAUCCUUCUAUUAGGUUUAAACUAACUAGUGGACAUGGCCAUUCUUAGCUCUUACAUCCAAAGCAGUUAGUCGUACGAGGACAAUUUCUUUUUCUUUGUCUGUUUUACUGAGUCAAAAGCAGCCUUUAGGUUUCAUUAUUACAUUCUGGUGGAGCGAGAGAAAGAACAGAAUCGUCAAAGGGUGUGAGAGUCCUUAUUGCGAUGUUUGAUCCCUUACUGAAUUCUUUGUUUCUUCUGGGACAUUUGUUUUGUUAUUAUUUGCUAGACCUUAUCUCUUUAUUGGAGCCUUUUUUGCACUUUGGUUCUUUUUGUGGGCUUUCUUUUUUAUGUCCGUUUAUUCUUUCAUUUUUUCUAAAAAUGAAAGUUAAGUUUUUUUUUUAAAAAAGAAAAAGUUAUUAAAUGCAUCUGCAUUUAAAUAGUAUCUAGUGAUAGACUUUAGUAUCUUAUCGUUGCGUUCCCACUCCACCUAAUCUAUUAUUACAUGCAUCUGUGUGCUUGUGUUCUAAUUCCUUCUAAACUAUUUUUACGGGAUUUUCAUAGCCAUUGUCUUUGAAGAACUCCCCCUUUUCCUUCCCCAGAAGAAAGUUCACUCACAGUAUGUUCAUUCAGCUGUUGUGAUUAGUUUGUAGAAUUGAGAGGAGCAUUGCCCAUGGUUUAUCUUUUUUUGGUAUUUUCAAUUCAUUUUUAAGACAAAUGUUGAUGUUUUAUUUUUGGUGUAGCUGACUUACUUUGCCAUGGACUAUAAGAGCUAAUUGUUCAAACACGUGAAUUUAGGUUCAUCAUCAAAAACCACCGUAGCCGAUCGUGUUGUAAUUUCUAGCCAACACCCAUCUUUGUUGGUAAAAUUGUACUUUCUAGUUUCCUUUGCCCUUAUCUGUAAAGUCUAUAUGAUUGCUUUUAGGACCUGCUAUAUUGAAGAACAUCUUAUCCAUCCAAUAUGUAAAGAAAUGGAUAUUUUGUUACCGGGAUCCAGAAUGGGCUGAUGUGAAGCUCGCUCAGGCUAAGUAUCUUUUAUCACGCCUAGCUCGAUUCAAAUCUUUAGUUGCUGAAAAGUUUGAAUGCACACCCUCAGUACUUUUGGCUGGCGAUUUCAAUUCAACCCCAGGAGAUAAGGUUUGUAUUCUAUCUCGAUUUAUCAUUUGCAUUGAAUUUCCUCUUUCUGAAGAUAUGGUAUAUAGCUAUUUCAUUGUUAUUAUCAUGUCUAAAUUACAAGUUUAGUCCCUUGAACUUUGUGUCUCCUUGAUUGCUUAACUUUCCAAAAGUAUCUAAAAGAUCUGCAUGCUUUCAAUUUUGUGUAACCAAGUCUCAAAAUUUUAAAUUCAUGCAUUUAAUAGGUUCCAUUGAAGUUGAGAAUCAUUGUAAACCUAGAUCUUUCUUUUUUUUCUUUGCUAUGGUUAAAUUAUAUGUUAAUGUUUUGUUCUGUUACAAUUUUGUUCCUAUCAAUAUUGAUUAGUAUUAAAGUUAGUAUAUCUAUUUUGGACGUUGUUAGUUCUUGUACAUUUAUAUGUCGUACUAUCAGUACAUCUUAAAUUUAGUUCAUCUGGUUUCAACAAAUCAUUAACAACAUUUGAAGACAUUAUUUAUCAAAUUGGUUAAAGUAAUUUUUUAAAACAAUAAAGUAAUAGUAAUAACUAAGUUAAGAUUUAUAAAAAAUAUAGAAUUAAGAUGGUACAAAAUAUUUUCCUCCUCAUUCUGCUUCAUGAGGAGAAAGGUCAUCUUUUUUAUCGCUUUCAUGCUUCCUGGCUUGUGGGUUUUGGUUUUGAAGACUUUUUGUAAUUACUCUAUAGGUGUUAAUUUGAUAGUUGGAGUGCGUUCCCAUAGGUUAUUUUUUCCCUUCCUUUUCCUUUUUGUAAUUACUCCAUGGUAGUACUUGGAUCUCAUUCUCAUCACAACUUCCCAAAACCAUCUAGGACUGUUGCAUAAUUAAUGGUCCAAUGUCUGAUUAAAAUUUUAAACCACCAAAAUCAUGUGAAUUGAACUAUGAGAAUUGUUGAGAAGGAUUGAAUUUUAUGUUUAUUUGAAACUCAGCAUCUAAUGGACCGGCCAUUUGAAAUGAUUUUUUUAAAUGCUUAUAAAUGCUGUUUUCUUCACUUGUAGAGACUAUAAUUUAAACACAUGAGAGAAUGUUUAGGGCAAGGAGUUGAUAAUUCGUUAUAUAGUCUUAGGUUAUUAUAGUUUGUGCUUGAGGUGUGAAUUAUUUUAGUUUUGGUAAUAAUAUUAUGUGAUAGAAGGUAAAACAGUAAAAACGGUAGCAAAUUAGGUUUCAAAAUAGUAUUGAUGAUAGGUAAUUGGGGAUUUAUAGUCUUACUAUAGUCAGUGCCUCGAACAUUUUCGUAGAAAGUCAAUUCAAAUAUCCCUAAAUAUAGGUUCUUUUUUGGUUAUUAUCUCUUUGGACAUCCAAAAUCACAAGCUUAUAAACAAAAAAUUCUAGCAAAUAAUAAAGAAGUAGAACUCAUUACUAGCCAGCAAAUCAUACUUCUUACAAACAACGUUAAAAACAAAAGGAAAAAGGCUCUUCCUUUUUCCUUUGGUUUAAAAAAAAGUUUAAAAAGGGACCUCAAAUAUUCUUCUAGGCCUAGACAUGCAAAUAAGUUGGUUCAAUUACAAACACACUUACUACUUUCUAGUAGUAAAAUCACUCAUUCUUGAGCCUUUAUGUCCUAUGCAAUUGUCAUAUUAUGUCCUAUGCAAUAGGUCAUAUUAUUGUCAUUCAACAAGGGCUUUAAUUUUGAUCAGUGGGGAAUUUGUUUUUUUGUCCUUAUCUUUAAAUGAUGAUCACUUUAUUAUACGGAUCCAAUUGAUAAGUUAAAUAGUGAAUUUGAUAAGUAGAAUUCUGUCACAAUUAGUGUUAAGUAAAGUUAAUAUAGGAAGAGUCUUUCAUUUGACACAUCACAAUUAGUGUUAAGUAAAGUUAAUAUAAGAAGAGUCUUUCAUUUGACACAUCAUAUUUGAUGUGUGUAUAUAAUAUAGAUAUGCACGUACAAUUUUUUUUUUAGUUCACAUGGGUUGAGAUUUGAAACUCCAACAACCUUUUGAUAUAGAAUAUAUGAUCAAGUUGUGGUAGGUACACAUUGUGUUAUACACUUAUGUAUGUAAUAUACUGAAGAUGGGACCGUUGGGCAUAUAUGACGGCUUUAGUGAAACACAAACGGAGUCUCAGGUGUGUGCCCAUCUUUCUUUUUGCCAACUAUAACUCUUAUCAAUUAUAGUAAUUUUUUUAAAAUUUGCCAUCAUUUUUGACAACUUGAUUACAAGAGGACUAAAGAACGAACUACAACUCAUAAGAUUUUUUAUGGAGUAGGAAUUAGGGUAUUAUGGACAAAUUCUUAAUAUAUUAGGAUUAGGAUUAGGAUUAGGAUUAGUUUCUUAUAUUAAUUAGAAUUAGGAUUAGUUUGAUUUUAAUAGAGUACUUGUCUUCUUGUAUUCACAAAUUUAAAUAUUAAUAAAAUUAAGUCAUUUGGUCUACACCAUAAAAAAUUGUCAUCGAUGGAAAAUUGGAAAACUUUUCGUGAUGCUGAUCACAAGAGGGAGCUUUGUGAGUUGUUCUCAUUGCUAAACAACACAAAUCUAACUGGGAGAACCCUUAAAAAUUUUUUUUAAAAAAAAAAAUUCAAAUUAAUUUGAUUGAAAACGUUGUUAAAACAAGCAUUGAAGAUUGUCAAUUGCAAUAAGAAAGCAUAGAUUGCAAAGAGUACGACAAGGCUUGGGCGGGGAUUCAACAGGUAUGCCUCUCCUAUAGUACUUUUUUAACAUUUUCAUCUCUGGCAGACUUGCAUAUGAAAAUGCCGAAACGUCACACCCAAGCAUAUCGACUUGAAAUUCAAAGCAACUACCUAAACUACGUACAAGACAUAAAGACAAGAUAAAUUGGGGCUAAUCUGAGCAUAUGGCCAUAGGUAAACACACCUUGGACAAGUAUGUCUGUAACUUGAGGACACAUUCAGGCUUGUCCCUAAGAAAGUGAAUAACUCUGUCCAAAAGGCGCCAAUGAACCGUCCAUCUCGAUCACUCACAAUGCUUGUCGGUACACCCCACAGCUUCAUAAUAUGUCUAAAGAAUAAUUGAGCUGUUAACUCCGCCGAACACUGCUUCGUAGUGGGAACAAAAGUGACAUAUUUCGAGAAUCAAUCUAUAAUGACUAAUAUAGUCUCAUAGUCGCCUACUUUUGGAAGAUGUGUGAUGAAGUCUAUAGAAACACUCUCCCACGGUCUCGUUGGCACAGGCAGAGGUUCGAGAAGCCCAGCAACCUUUGCCUUCUCGACUUUGUCCUGUUGACAGACAAGACACAUCUUCGUGUAUUGCAUGAUAUCGUCUCUCAUACGGGGCCAAAAGUAUCCAUACUUCAGCAAGACAUAUGUCCUCUGUCAUCCGGGGUGGCCAGCCCACAGAGUGUCCUGACACUCGUGUAGCAACUUCUUUCUCAGGUCUCCUCCCCUAGGGACAUACAACCGUCUCCCCUUCGUCACUAACAACCCAUCUUCAACCCAAAACUGCCUUGUUUUACCUGCCUCAGCUAAACUCAUGACACUCUGAGCCGCAGAAUGCUUCUGCAAGAACUCCCUCAAGAAAUCGCGCAUAGGACCAUUAAUCUUGCUUGCGUAGAGAUGUGCUAACAUGCACAAAGCAACGUGUUCACCUCUUCGACUAAGCGCAUCAGCGGCCUGAUUGCUCACCCCUUUCUUGUGUUCAAACUCAAAAUCAAACUCAGUUAGGAAUUCCUGCCAUCUAGCUUGUUUUGAAGUCAACUUCGGUUGCGUAAAGAAGUGACAAGUAGCACUAUUGUCCGUCUUCGCAACAAAAAGUUGACCCCAAUAAGUACUGUCUCCAGGCCCUUAAGCAAUGUACUACGACAAGCAUUUCUUUCUCGGACACGGUGUACCUCCUCUCCGUGUCAUUCAACUUUCGACUCUCAUAAGCGAUGGGGUCUCCAUUCUGCAGGAGUACACCACCCAAUGCGUAAUCAGACGCAUCGGUCUCUACUUCAAAUGGUUGGGUCACAUCUGCGAUCCCAAGAAUUGGCCCCUUGACCAUAGCUUGCUUCAGUUCAUCGAAGGCGACUUGACAUUCCAGUGUCCAAUUCCACUUGUUGUCCUUCUUCAGCAAGUCAGUCAACGGGCUUACUCUUUUAGAGAAUCCUUCCACGAAUCACCUGUAAUAAUUGGCUAACCCGAGGAAGGAGCGCAAGUCGGUGACUGACCUUGGUACUUCCCAAUCACGAAUCGCAAUGAUCUUUCCUUCUUCCAUACUGAUUCGACCACACUCAAUCACAUGACCCAAAAAAUUGAUCCGCUCUUGAGCAAAGGAACACAUUUCCCUCUUGACAUAUAGUUGGUUCUCCUUUAGUUGGUUCUCCUUUAGUUGGUUCUCCUUCAACUUCUGAAAAACCCUUUUGAGGUGGUCCUUGUGUUCUUCUAGCGUGGAGCUAUAAACCACUAUAUCGUCCAGAUAGACCACCACAAACUUGUCAAGGUAUUCAUGGAAGACCUGGUUCAUUAGCGUACAGAACGUUGCAGGUGCAUUGGUAAGAGCAAAUGACAUGACAAGGAACUCGAACGCCCCAUACCUCGUAACGCAGGUGGUUUUGGGCUCAUCCCCUUCGACAAUUCUUACUUGAUAAUAGCCCGAUCGCAAGUCUAGCUUCGAGAAAUACUUUGCUCUAUGAAGGCGAUCAAACAGGUCUUGAUUAUUGGUAACAGAUAUCUGUUGCAGACCAUGAUCUUGUUUAGGGCGCGGUAGUCGAUGCACAACCGCAUACUUCCAUCCUUCUUCUUCUGGAAAAAGACUGGAGCUCAAUAUGGAGCUUUUGGAGGCCUCACAAAUCCUGCGUUCAGCAGUUUACCCAGUUGUUUCCGAAGUUCGGCCAACUCCGGCGGUGCCAUACGAUAAGCAUCCUUCGCAGGCGGUUUUGCCCCUGGCAGCAGUUCGAUCUCAUGGUCGAUCAUUCUCCGUGGAGGCAAUGAUUUCGGCAGGCUGUCUGGCAUCACAUCCUUGUACUUCUCUAAGACACUUAGGAUGUCUUUGGGGACUGUUUCCCUUGGGCUUUCGAACGACUCCAGUGGGAUAGCCAUGAAGGUUGGUUCGUCACGAGCAAGGCCUUUCUUCAACUGCGUAGCCGAGAUCAUCUUUAUCCCAUCAGGCUGACGAAUCUCCGUUUGAACAACAGUAGGCGUUGUUCCAGUAAUCACUAAACAUUUGGCUAGCGGCAUUGGUAUGACUUGAUGCUCCAGUAGAAACUUCAUACCCAGUACCACAUCCAAGUCAUCCAUCUUUGCAACCACCAAAUCUAUGGGACCGCUCCACUCUUCCAUCCUUAUGGUCGUUCGUUUUACCAACCCGACGAUAGGUAGGGCAGCUGAGUUCACGUCCUUCAUUUUUCCUGCGUCCUUCUCCCGACGGAGAUUCAGCCGUCUAGCUUCGGCUUCUACAAUGAAGUUAUGGGUGGCACCAGAAUCCACCAUAGUGCUCUUGGGUGGCUUUUGGUUGACCCAACAGUCUACGUACAUGAGACCAUUCUACGUACAUUAGGGCCCCCAUCCGAGGAUUCUCGCCCUCUUCUAUCUGUCCAACGUCUCCUUCAGUCUGACUCAAUCUAUCAUCUGAGUCCGAGGCCAGGGUGGCUUGAAAAGCGUUGAAGUCGAUACGGUUGGGGCACUCUCUGGCAAGAUGAGGUCCUUUACAUAUGAAACAACUGAUGGAACGACUGGUGUUGUUUUGAUUGUUUGGUCCUCGCCAGUUGUUUCCUGUAUUCGCUUGGAAGGGCUUGCGAUCUCCACCUUGUCGCUUGUCUCCCCUACAGUCUUCGGGGAAUUUGGGCGGUUGUUUCUGUUUCCUCUAGAGGAGGAAGCUUGAUGUCGUCUUGCAUCCUAAGAUUCACUAGAUAAGUCAAACAACCGUUCAGCCACUGCGUAUGUCGACGUGAGGUAUUGGAUUCGUUGCUCAUACAACUUGGUCCUAGCCCACGGCUUCAAUUCACGUAGUCCCGAAUGUUCCCCGUGUGCUUCAAUUCACGCAGCUUCCGUCGGGCCAGAACUUGACAUUCUCAAGAAAAAAAUUGCGAACGGAGUUCUUCUUUUAGGGCAUCCCACGUGUCGAUUGUGCAACGCCCUUCUUGAAUGUCCAUGUAUCGGGACCUCCACCAUAACUUCGCAUCUUCUGACAGAUGCGUGGUUGCCAGUGUCACCUUGGCCUCUUAAGUAAUUGUGUUCGUGGAUUUGAAAUACUGCUCGACAUCAAAGAUGAAGUUUUCCAACGCCUUGGCAUCUCUCGCCCCAUAGAAGGGCUUGGGCUCAGGAAUCUUGAUUCUGCCCGCAGGAAUGGCUCCUCCAGCUGGAGCCUGGUUUGCUAGUGCUCGCAUAGUAAGGUUCACCCUUGUGUUUACCUCUGCGAGCUCAUUCCUCACGACAUCGAGGGUUGCUCGAAAAUCUUCCGUCAUGUUGUUGAUCAUCUUCAACAUGUUCUUUUGGGAGUUAUCAAGCUCCAUAACUCGUUCUUCCAUCUCGGCAACAUAGCCCGAUUAACUGUCCCCACGCUCGUAGGUGACAUUUCCCGUUCUCAUAACUCGGGACUUUAGAGCGUCGACUCUAGUCAAUAACUCUUGGAUGGGUAGUCCGUCAAGGCGACCGAACACGACUUCAAUGCCAUCAGCUUUCUUGGCAAUAUCCUCAAGCCGCUAUUCCAAGAACCGGAUGGAAUCAGGAACUUCCACCAGGUAGAGCAUCUGCUCUUCGAUUCUCAUAAGUCGCUCAUUAUGGGUCUUGCUAGACUGUUUCGCCACCGACAUCUUUCUGUCUCGCACUGUCAACUGCCAACUUGGCUCUGAUACCAGUUGUCACAAUUGUAACCCUUCAAACACGAUGUGAACGAUUGUGCGACACUUGUUCGAACUCGACGAACAAGUCAGCCGAUCAAAAUCCGCAAAUCGCGGACAACUUUAACACACGCUUCAACCUUCCCUCACGUUCUUGGAAAAAUAUUUUUAGAAAACGUAAAAGAUGAUUAAUUUGAUUGAAAACGUUGUUAAAACAAGCAUUGAAGACUGUCAAUUCUUAGUUCUGUCCCGAAACAUCCAAAAAAGGGUCGAUGUUAUGGCCUAGAAAGAAACCACCCAGCUUAGAACAAUGUCAGAGGUCCUGAAAGUUCACAUCUACCUGUCGGAUGGCCACAUUCCGAGUAAUAUAAAGUUUCUUGCCCACAAAAGCCGAACGGCGAUGGCCCGACCUCGGUUUUUUAGUUUCGUCCGAAACGUUGAAAAAAGGGUCGAUGUUAUGGCCUAGAAAGAAACCACCCAGCUUAGAACAAUGUCAAAGGUCCCGAAAGUUCACAUCUAACUGCUGGGUGGCCCCAUUCCGAGGAAUAUCAAUAUUUCUUGCCGAAAAAAAUCAAACGACGAUGUCCAGACUUGAUUUUUUAGUUCCGUCCGAAACGUUGAAAAACUAAAAUAUUAAAAUAUUGCUAUGAAUCAUAUAUUUACUCAUGGUUUUUUUUUCUUUUUGUUUUUAUUUAAGUCUUGAGUGUCUAAGAAUUAUUUGAUAUGGUACGAGUCUUCAAAAGUCACAUCCUUUUCAUUUUCUCUUUUAUAGGAUGAGUCAUCAAGACUCAUCUUUCUACACUAGAUCUCUAAUAAGUUCUAAAACAAUUUUUUCUGAGACGACUUUUGCAGGUUGAAUGGUGUUGUUUAAAACCAAUUUGAAUUGUUGAAGUCCCUUAACUUCCUAAGAUGUCUCUCCAUAUCUUGUCUAGUUUUGGUCCUCUAUUCUUUCUCGAUUACUGUGGUCGGGUCAUCUCGUUCACUCUAGAUUGCAUUGAGAGUAUAGGGGAUUAAGCAAUAAACAAAGCAUAAAAUGCUCAUAAAAUGCUAAUGAAAUCUGGUAGAUGAGAAACGGAUAUCGAAUGGAUGAUCUUGAAAGAGUUUCCAUUGUCCCAAACUACGAGCAAGUCGCUUCUCCUGUCCCUAUCUCUUACUUCUGUUACUGUGACUGUGUUAGAGCAAAAGGAAGUAGUUUAAACCCUUUUAACAGACUAGAAGCAGCUUGAAAUCUUCAAUUCGACUUGAAGUUUAGAACUUCACUUAUUACUGAAACAGUGCAAAAGCCAAGAAAAAAAAGUCUUACCAGGACUUUUGCCCUAGUGAUUGACUUGGUUUUUGAAUCAAUUACAUAUAUUUUCUCAAAAUCUAGGAUAAAUUCAGGGUCCCACAGCCUUCGAUUUUUGAAGUGCUUCGUCAAGAAAACCUGCAAAAGAUAAAUGAAUUGUUUGCACAUUCUUAUAUCUUUUGUCCACAUUCCCAUCCUGAAGAGAAGACCAUCACAUGCAUAAUAUUCUUAAAUUUCAAACGUCGUUGAGUCAAUGAACGUCACUUUGUAUAACUAUGCUAGCUACUUCUAUUCUAACGUAUCGCGGCGAAACCUAUACUCGGAUUUACAAAGAAAUGGAAGAGUCCAUUAAAUUAUCAUCACUUUCACUAGAAAUAGAAAAAUAGAGUGAACAAUCAUCAAAUUCUUAAGUCCAACCUUACCUUAAGAACCUCCUUUUCAGACUUGUAUAAUGGAUCUCUAGGUGCAUCAAUAGGUGGUUCUAUGACAUUGUAGCAUCCAUAAUCACUCUAAGCACAUCUAAUAUACUGCAGUUGUGAAGAAAAGUAUGAUCAUACACUACUGAAAUUCCUUAAAAUCUUAUUUUGGUCCUUGAACUAUGAUGUUUGUUCCAUAUUGUUCUAUUAACUUUUAAUUAUUGUGUUUAAGUCCCUUAACCUUCAAUAAGUCAGUUUUAGUCUCAGAUUUCUUCAUCAAAUUAACUGUUAACUUACCAACCGUUCUUCCACAAAAACUUAAAUGACCGUCUGUAAACAUUUGCCGACUGACUAAAUGAACAUGCUAAAUUGAAAUCUGUUUAUAGAAAAUGAUUGAAACUUUUCACAAAGGAGAUGAACAGAGACUAGUGCUUCAACAUACAAAAGGAUACAACAAAAACAUAGCAUAAUGUAAACAAUUAACCACAGAGGAUUAAAGUAAAUGUGGUAAGACUGAAGUAAUAAGACUUCAAAAAGUAAAUGAAAACUUAGAGAGGCGUGAUAAAUGCCGGCCAAUUGCACUAGUUAUUGUUAAUGUAAAGUUAAUGAAAAUGGCUAAACUAACAGGUUAAGUUUCUGUUCAUUUGUUAGUUAAAAACUAAUGAAAAUGGUUGAAACGGGUUUUUAAUCUAGAGUUCAAGACUAAAACAUAAUAAUUUACACCAUUUUAUCAUGUAUAUAAAUGCAAAGAAAGAACAAUAAUACCUUUUGAGGCAUUGGAGGGAGCAAGAACUUUGGGGACGACAUAAACAUCAGUAUCCGGAGGAGUAACAUACAUCUACAACCAAGAAACACAUCAACGAAAACUUUUUUUAACUAUCAAAUGAAUCUGAUAAAGCCAAGUUUGAAAUGAAACUAAGCAAAUUUUGCCACUAACCUCUCUAAAAUCAUAAACAUCGCUGUUGGAAUCCGACGACUUCCUAAUGAAGAAAUGACAGUGCAUAAAACUAAUCUUAUGAAAUUCCUCCUCAUUUAUCCUAUAAUCCACAAUCAUCUCCGAAUCCCAUCCCUGUGUGAACACGAAGCUUUUGCUCUGCACAAUCGAGAUAUUCUCAUCGCCAACGUCGUCGGAACCCGCUGCUGCAGCUAUCGCGGCGACUAGGGGAUCGUACUCGAUGUCGAAAUCUUUGUUGCUGUUGAAUUCCUCCAUUUCCUCAUCGUCCAUGUCGUAGUCAUCGGGACCACCACUAUCACCGUUGCCAUCGCCGGAGAAGACUCGACAAGGGUUUCUUCUAGGGAGGAAGAGAGGAGAUGCAGAUGGAGUGGAUUUCCGAUAGGGCAGGCUUGGGAGGUGGGGAAGAGAGGUUGCGGAGGAGAUGGAGGAGACUCAAAGAUGGUUGAUUGGGGGGCGGCAACGACGAGGAGAGGAGGAAGACAGUGGAGUUCAUGAGGACGCAAACUCUGUUAAGCGGGCACCGAAGAAUUCGAACGCUCUUGUGUUGAGUUUGUUGAUGGACACUGUCAGGUGGAUAAUGUUAAAAAUAAUUAAAAUGAAUAUUUUUAAAAACAUUCAAAAAAAUCGUUAAUAUUAUGAAAAUGGUCAAAUACUGUCAGUUUUGGUCUACCAUUUAAAAAAUAGCAUACAUUUUUUUUAUAUUCGUCUGUUUUUCUCACAGAGACUGCUUUUUUCACAGCUUUAGCCGAAUUCAAUUAUGAGAUUUCUUAUUUUGUAUUUAAAAUUUAAAAUAAAUGCUAUUAUACAAUUACCAAAAUAUUUUCCAGCAAACAAUUUCAUAUAGUUGUGAAAAUAGGAACUCAUUUAGGUUAAGUUUGAACUUCAUUACUCUCAAAAUCUCUUAGAUUUAUUGAUUUUUGUGUGGGCAAAAUUGUUCUGUGUAUCCUCAAGCAUUUAAGUCUUUACAUGUAUUCUGCCUUGAACAAUUUGAUAGUUUAGAGCUUUUUUAAAGUUUUGUUAUAGGUUUUUUUUUUUUUUUUUGUGAAAUAUGAGGUGGCUGGAAUAUAAGUAGUUGGAUGUGUGCAUAUCUCAUUUUUAAAUUUUUUCUGGUGGUGAUCUGAUGAAUGUCAUAAAUUUCAUCAACCUAGGCUCAUUUAGAUUAGGAAUCUCGCCUGAGAUUGUUGAAAUUGGACUGAGAUUUGUUGAAUGAGUCUUGAGAUUGUUCUACGUUUGUGUUCAUAUGCAUUAUGUGUUGGUUAUCGGGCUAGAUUUCACCCGAGAUUAACCAAGAUACAUCAUAGGAUGCAUAUAAAACACUAAUAUCGUGACAUCACAUGUAAAUAACCCAAGUACAUAGUGAAUUUAUGUUGUUCUUGACCGAGAUUGGAUCAAGAUUCCCUUGAGUUCUAAGACAAAGUACUUAUUUUCUUAUGUUACCUGUGUUCUCUGUUUGGUAAAUGCCUCUUGUCACUAAAAUUUGCAAUUCAAACAUUUUCCUUCCAAAAUUGACAUGUUCUCACUCGGCGAAAACUAUCUCCAAUAUUAAAAACAAGUUAACUCCUAGGCAAUUGUAUAUGUUUAGGAAAACUCCAUUCAAUCAUUUCUUGGACAUUAGGUUGAUGAUCAGUGGAUCUUUGUGUCAUUACAUCUUGUUAAGAGAGUUUGAGGAUGAUCGAUGUGACAUUAUCAAUUUUAAAUUUCUCAGAAGGUGUCUUUCAGACAAGAAGAUUUUGGCAUUAUUACGAGGUUGAGGUUGAGGUAUAGGUGAAGACAUGUUGUUGAGUUUGAACAGGAUAAAAGCUCUUAGAUUGAGACGCUUAUAUUUGGUUGGUAGGGCAAACAUGAAUGGGUCUAAAUUGGGUAAAGAUUACCAAAACCUUCAAUUUGAGAGUUACAAGCCUACGGUAUGAACCAUUUUUGUUCUUCUAAAGUUAUUUUUGUCACGAAUGAAUUAACCAUUUCUGUUCAAAUACCUAUAGUGACAAUAUUUUUUAUAUUUUUUAAGUUAUAUUUUCGAAACAAGAGUAUUUUAUGAUACAAAACAUUAAAGUUUUUCAUCUAAAUGCAACUGUAAGGGGCCGUUUGGGGAAAGAAAUGAAUAAGGGGGAAAAGAAUAAGGAAAAUGGGGGAUUAAGUGGAGGAAAGGAUUAUUAUAAUCCUUGUUUGAGGGAAGGAUUAUGAGGAUUAUUUAUAAUCUUUGUUUCGGAAAGGAUUAAGUGGAAUGAUUGUGAGAGAUUAUUUAUAAUCUGGGAGAAGAUUAUGUCAGAAGGAUUAAAACCAAAAUUGUAUUUUUUUUAUUAUUAUUUAUACAUUAACCUGAAUAUGAGAUUAAAUGUAGAAUUGUUUUUUUUCCUGUGAAUGAAAUUCUUUGUUUUUUUCGUGAACCCUAUACAAAAUGAAAAAUGUGCUAAUAUAUGUUGCAAACUUUGUUGAUACCGUUAAAGCCUCAACAAAAAAUUGUAUUCAAAUUAAUUUUUUUAGUUAACCGUAACCCAAGCGUUCACAAAAAAACACGAAUUGAUUUUUUUUUUGUUAAUUUUGUAUAAAUAUUUUUUUUACUACAAUAUCCCUAAUACACUUUCAAAAUUGAAUUAGAUGUUUUCCAUGUGUACGAUAUGCUUAUGGAAUGAUUUCCAUAAACCAAAUACAAAAUAAAAUAUGUAUUAAUUUUUUUUGCGUUUGUCUAAACUUAUUUAUUUUUUUCGUACGGUUUUCAAGAAACGACGAAUAUUUAUAUUAAAAUAAUGUUUAUAUUUCAUUUCAACUGUAACCUCAACACACAACACAUAUGUAUUAAUUAUAAAGUUGAUUUUGUAAAAAACAAAUUUGGACCAUACGCGCAAUACACAAUACAAACAAAUUGUAUUAUUUUUUUCUAUUUGUGUAAACUAUGUUUCUCAAGUUAUACCGUAAAUAGAAGGCAAAAAAAAAAAAAAAAUCUAAGUUUGUAUCGUCAAUCAUAUAGAAUAAAAAAUUGGAUUACGUUGGUUUUAUUUUAUUUUUUUCCAUUUUGAAGAUUUCUUUUUUCAUAUAUUAAUUUUUUUUCUCCAUGAGAACGAUGAGCAACAUAAUAGCGGUUAAAGCCAACGACUAUUUUUUUGAAUUGCAAUUAACGAAAAACAUAACGGGCUAAUGCAAACUACAUGCAAGAGCUUACCUAUCUCACCACUUGGCAUUCUUAGUGGGGUAAGUGUCCUGCAUGCAAUAAGCCACUUGCAUAUCACAUGCAAGUGAUAAGCUUACCAAAUCUUAACAAAUGUUAUUAUUUAAAUUAGUCUAAGGACAAUAUGGUAAUUCAACAUUUAAAUCAAAUUCAAAGUUCGAGUUUUUCAAGCCCAAAGUCAACAUUUUGACUUUUAACCAUUUUGUCCAUCUUGACUAAUUUCAACCUUCCAAGCAUCAAUUCGUAUAAAUUUCUUCAAAAUUUAAAUCACAUUUGAAUAUAAAGUCAUCCAAAGUUUGAUUUUUCAAAGUCAAAAGUCAACAUUUUGACUUCUUACUUCUUUACCAUUUUCAUCAAUUUUGAGCUUCCAAAUAUGAAUUCAUAUUCAUAUUUAAAUUACAUUUAAACAUGAAGCUUUAUCUUAAAUUAUAAUCGAUGACUAUAUUCUAAUUCUAACAAUUCGAAUUAUUCCAUCAUAAUGUUCUAAGUUGAUUCCUUAUGAGCUAGUGGGGGAACCUAAUGGAUCUAUAGAUCAAGGGUUCUAACGAUCUGAGAUUAACUGACUAAACUGUUUAGAUCGAGUUAAUCAACCUUCGUUAACUAAUGAGUCAUUCCACUAAAGUCCCGUAGUUGCACUCCCCUCACUAUAGAUAUAUUUGUGUCCAUGUGAUAUGACAUGAUAAGUAAGUUAAUCUUUCACAAGUUGUUCAUGAUCUCGACUGGGUCAAAGCACUGUUUUACCCCGACAUUAUAUCUUUUUUCUUUAAGUCCCACUGAUCCACUAUUAAAUAAUUGGUUUUAGGUCCAACCUAUAAACUGAAUCCCUCUCGGGCCAAUGAAAGGGUGGGGCCCUUGUUCAAGACUUGGAUUCAAUCAUUAAGGGAACAACCUAUCUACUAACCCUAGAGUGGUAGGAGUGAAUUCCGUCUUGCACCCUAUGUCCCUAGCUAUCCACCCGAUCUUACCCCUGAAAUGGGAGGCUUAUUGAGCCAACGCCAUUGAGCUCCCUCACUUAUGCAGAUCUAUCAAUAAUUUCACGUGAACAGAAGUUCAUAGUUAGUUCAUUUUUAAAUUAAGUUACAUUGGAUAUCUAUAAACGAAAUAGUCAGUUUUACAAAGUUAACGGUGUUAUAACUUAAAAGCGACUAUCUCAUGGUUCCAGUCUUAUGUCAACUCUUUACAUAGAAUGCCCCCACUUCCAUGUCUCUUACCCUAUUUUAGCGACUUACCCUAUUUUAGCGACUUCUAUAGGUCGAGCUAUUCAAACCUCUCUUGAAUUCUUGUAAACAAAGGGAUCAGUCAAGAAUCCAAAAUAGUUAUUAACACACACCGUCGUAAAGAGAGAGAGAAAUUCCCUUAUUAUCAUAAUCCUUUUUUCGUGAUCGAUCAUCUCUCAAGAAUAUCUCUGUCUUAUGGCACCUCUCCUUUCCAACUAAAGAAAGUCAAAGAAGAGGAGUAGCAACUUCUUAGGGAUCUCAGUUCUGCAAAAGCUAGAGAAAGCCUAUGCAAAAUCAACCACAACAGCAAAAGAAUGUCCUUCAGCAGCAAGGUGAAAAGGAAUAUUGCAUCCUUCAUUGAUUUGCUUAAGGGGCUAGUUAAGGAGUCUCCUCAUUUAACCUCUCAUUCUCAAAGUUCGCCUCUCUUAUGCUUUUUGAUCGAUCUGAGAUGAGAACAACUGUGAUUAAGACAAUGAUUGCAUAAGGAAAGACAGACCCUAUCGUUAGAGAUAUUCCCUACUCAAUUUGGAUCCAAGGGAAAGCUUCUUCUUGAAAUAGUACUUUUGACUACUCACUUUCAGUGAUCGUAACCUAAUGGAUGGAAGAAUUUCGUACCUCCUCAAAGGAAAGAUUACAUUGGGGUCCGUCCCACUCUUUCAAGGCCUUUCUUCUCAGGCAUAAAGAUAGGGCUUUCUUUAGCACUAUUGUGAUUUACUACUACAGGGUAGUGUAGGCUACCGUCCUUAUGCUUUUUGUGGAUUUAGAAAGCACUUGAACAGUUUCCACAUUCGCUGUGAAAUGAGCUCCAACAAACUUUCCUUUCUUCCUUUGAGGCCUGAGACAGGUCAAUGAAUAAGGGCUACAAUUCUUAUAGUUCAUAAAGAAAUUCACUCUUUAGUCUAUUCCCAAUCCUAGUCCUUUGAGAUUCUUUAGGUUCUGUGUACUAGACGUCGUCGACCCUCUCAAACGUGGAAAAGACUCUUUCCUCACUCAUUGAGCUUGAAAAAGUAGCCCACGUGGCGGUAUUCAGUCUUCACCCCCACUCUGCGGUUGAGGCAUUUGUUCUCGAAGGAGAAGGAUAGUCGCUCAACAAAGUUUACGAACAAGAAGGCGCCAUAGGCGGGAACAAAGAAUAUUGCUCAAAGGUUUUAGCUUUAUUUCUAUGUGGGCCACUCUUUUUCCAUGGAGGCAAGGACCAUCUCAAACUACCUUAGAAGAGGCAGGAAUUAAGAGACAGUGUCUGCUCUCGUGGCGGCCUUAUCUCUUCUUAUGGCACUUCUACCAUUGGAGGUUUCAAUCCUUCUUCUUUUGAAAGAGAAAGAUGCCUUAUGCAUGCAUUGGCCUCUAGCAUAUUUCUUUAUUUAUUGGUCAUAUGUCAAUUUUUCUCCCUGGUUUUUCUUUCUAUUUGCCUUAUCAAAUAAGAAGCGCAACCCUCAACAAAGGCGACACCUUAAACAAGGGCUACUGCUCUCCCUCUACAUCCCUUUCCUUUCUUUAAUGGGGGAAAGAUUGUCAGAGAUCUUAUUCAAGAUCUAAACUCUGGAAAGGAGUGCCUCCUUUCCUUUCCCUUCGCCUUCAUAAGUCAGGCUAUGAAAAUAGAUUGUAAGUGAACCGCUUACCAUUCAGACUGAUCUAGGAGACGGGUCGAGGUGUGGAGUUUUCUUCUUUCUUGCUUUGAUAUGUCCCACGGUCUUUUGAGCUAGUCUACUUUCUCUCUGCGGUUAGCUUCAGAAACUACCCCACUGAGAGGUGGAGUAUAACCUUUCCGGGAGAUCGAUACCCUGAUCUCGCUCAAGUAAUAAGAAGAUAAAGUGCUCAAGACUAUGUAAGAAGAUAUGAAAAAAAAUUGAAUUUUGAAAGCUCUGAUCUUUCAUACUCUUAAUUAUAUCCACGAAGCGGUAGGCUGAGCACCUUGAUGUAUAGGCCUUAUGAAUAUGAGCGAUAGCUUCCGAUAUGGAAAGGGGAAAGCAGGACCCACUUGAGGGUCAAGAAAUAAGAAGAGAAGAUAGAGUAAAGUCGAGUCCUCUAAUUCUCAUCCAUUUCUCCAACUUCGUCUCCUCAACUGCGUAAACUGUAGGUCUCUUUCUUCUCCUCGUUCAUAAUGCACACCUCUUCCCUUCUCAUAAUAAUCUUUUGAAUAGUCAAGAUCAUCAUAAAAAGCCUUGUUAGUCUUGUCUCAACUUCUCCUACUCACUCGAGCCUAACUACUCUCCUUCUCUUUCUUUCAUACUAAGUUGAUAGUGAAAAGAGAGAAAAUUACUAGUUGGGACUUCGACCUUUAAUCAUAGAUCUCAUGAAAGAGAUAAGGCUACUUCUCUUUCUGCAACUGAAAGAAGAAGAAUCGCGACUGCCAAAAUCCCUCCCACGGGAUGAAAAUAAUACUUUUAUUUAUCCACAUUGAUAAAAGAAAGUUCAAUAUUCUUUUUUUAGUGGAAUAACACUCGUCCUCUUACAUACUCGUUCUUCCAGUCGUCUGAACCAAGAAUAUCCUUGUCUUAUGGAGCUUUGUCUCUGCACAAACAUUAUUUUUCAUAGUCGAAUAAAAUAUCAAAAGAGAAAGAGAGAAUCAUUUAUGAAGAAGAAAUCAUUCUCAAGCUCUUCUUUUUCUCUCUCUUCUCAAUGAAUCGAGUCUUCGAACCUGCGAAAGUGCUCAAGAUUAUUUAAGAUAGAAUAAUGAAAUAGUAGUUUCUCAAGCUCUUAUUAAAGACAUAAGUCGUUUAUUACCACAUUCCGAAAGAGAUUAUGAAAGAGAAAAGAUAAAUGAAUGAAAUAUUCCUAAUCCAUAAAUCUCAGGUGAAGGACUAAUCAAAUGAGUUCAAAGAGAAGAAGAGGUCAAUUGCAGAAAAGAAUGAACUUAUGAGCUGGAGAUGGAAGAGCGAAGAAGAUAGGAGGCCAAGCCAAGAGUCAUCAAGAAGCCGUCGGAUCCCAAAAAGAAAGGUCUAGAUGAAAAGGAAGAAAAGGAAAAGGCCGAGUAUUUUGUCCUAGUUAAGCCUAAGACCUAGGUGAAUGAAUCUUGAAGGGUGCCUGAUUUGCCUAUUAGGUAGUAGUAGUCUUGGUUUCAUUGUAUUCCCCAUAUCGAAAGGAAGUUCAGCCUAGGGUUAGGUGCUUUUUCCUUAUUUAGCCCAUGGAGCAGAGCAUAUGAGUCCUUUCAUGUAUCAGAGUUGCUACAGAAGAUCGACUGACUCGAUCCUCUGAUCCUACUCUACAUCACAGAGAAAUAAAGCAAAAAUCUUCUUUCCCACGCACCUCACGUCAGCUAAGGUUAUUCUUUCUUCCCAUAUAGUGGGCUGACUUUGCACCUAAAUGAUAGAACUAAGUCAUGCACAGCGGAAAAAGAAUCGAAUUUCUACCCUAAUUGCCACAAUUAACAUGUAACCAUAAACUAAUCAAAUUAGGGUUUUAAGAAAUAUUACCUUUGAAGCUUUCAAAAGGUUUGAUAUCUUCUUACCAAUUCUAACCGAGACCACCACUAGUACUCAACUGCUAUCCUCUAGACAAAGAACCGGGUUGUGGGACCCAACUUUGGUGUAGAAAGUAAUGGAGAUAAAAUGGGAUUGUAAGGUUUUUUUUUUUUUGUUGAGAUGAUGAAAAUGAUAAAAGAGGCAAAAGUUCUUCAACAUUUGAAAACCUCUAUUUAUAACCUAAUUACAUGCAAAAAUGCAUGCAAUUCAUUUGCCAAAUCUCAACCCCUAAUGUUCCACUAACAAUUAGUGGAACUUAGUGGGCUAGGUGUCUAUAUCUCAUAUAGCCACAUAUCCCACUAAGAGUUAGUGGGAUUAUCCAAUAAAUGUUGGAUUUUCCCACUAACUUAGUCCAAGGGUAAAAUGGUCAUUAGAUAUUUCUAGUCAAAAGUCAAACUUUGACUUUUCUUAGUCAAAAGUCAAUAUUUUGACUUUUUACCAUUUUGUCCGUCUUGACUAAUUCCAACCUCCCGAGCAUGAAUCCGCAUUCAUUUUUCCAAAAUUCAAAUCACAUUUGAAUAUAAGGCCGGUCAAAGUUUGACUUUUCAAAGUCCAAAGUCAACAUUUUGACUUUUUACUAUUUUUGACCAAUUCCAUCAAUUCCGAGCUUCUUAGUAUGAAUCCGCAUUCAUACUUAUAGUAUGUAAAACAUAAAAGCUCUAUUUCUAAUUAGAAGACCGACGACUAUAUCACUAUAUUUGUCGGUUUCCCUUUCUUCUCCCAAUUCGAACAAUUCGACUUAUUUCAUCACACUGUUCUAAGUUUAAUCCAUAUGAGCUAGCAGAGGAACCUAAUGGACUUAUAGAUCAUGGGCUCCAAUGAUUCAAGAUUAACUAGCUAAACUCUUUUAAACCGAGUUAAUCAACAUUCGUUAACUAACAGGUCAUUCCACUAAAGUCCCGUAGUUGCACUCCCCUCACUAUAGAUAUAUUUGUGUCCAUUUGAUAAAACCAUAAUCAGUAAGUUAAUCCUUCACAGGUUGCUCGUAACCUUGGCUGGGUCAAAAUACCGUUUUACCCCCAAGAUUACAUCUUGCUCCUUAAGUCCCACUAAUCCACUAUUGAACAAUUGGUUUAAGGUUCAACCUAUAAACUUAAUCCCUCUCGGGCCAAUGAGAGGGUGGGGCCCCUUGUUCAAGACUUGGAUUCAGUGCUUAAGAGAACAACCUAUCUACUAACCCUAAAGCGGGUAGGAGUGAAUUCCAUCUUGUACCCUAUGUUCCCAGCUAUCCACAUGAUCUUACCCCUGAAAUGGGAGGCUUAUUGGGCCAACGCUGAUGAGCUGCCCUCACCUAUGCAGAUCUAAGGAUAAUCUCGUGUGAACAGGAGUUCAUAGUUAACUCAGGAUUAAGACUAAGUUACCUAGGUCAUCAAUAAUUGAGAUAGUCAGUUUUAAACAGUAAACGGUGUUAUAACGUAAAAAUGACUAAUUCAUGGUUCAGUCUUAUGUAAACAUUUUACAUAGGAUGCCCCUACUUUCAUGUCUCUACAUGAACGAUUAGGAUCACCUCGUUUGUACUACAAAGUGGGCCGCAUCCAUAGUUUCUCUAAAUAAGGCGCCCAACCUUUAUUUCAUAUACUAUAGACUAUUUAGGCUAUAUACUCGAACUUGAUCCACGUUUAUGUUUACACAUAAAGUUCAAGUUUAUUCAAAAAAUAGCCUUGGAACUUGAUUUAUUGGAUUUAAGAUUAUAAUAUUUAAUUUCUCAAUAACAACUUUAUUGAACAGAAUAUGAUUUACAAACUACGAGUUUUAGGACAAAAAAUUCCAACACUAAAUCAGUCGAGAUAUUUUUACCUAUCUUUAAAGGCGAAGAAAUUGCAAUCCUCUUUAUUUAACUAACCUCCUCAAAAGAACUGGUCUCGUAAGAUGCCGAUGUUUAUGGACCUUUGUUCUUUGACCGCCUUGAUUUUAGCCUCUGAACCUCUUCAGAGGCUUAAAUAAUGAUGGAAGGACUUCUAAAUUCACAUGAGGAUCUUGACGGAUGAAAGUAGGGAAAUCGAAGUAUAUAUAUUUACAGACUAAGAGGUUCAAAGGCUAAAAUCAAGGGAAAUUGGGUCUUAUGGGGGAAUAAAAUUGCAUUUUUCCUUAUGGAAAGGAGGAAGAACACAAUAACUGUCUUUUCCCUUGAUUCCACUCAAGCACUCAAUCACCACAGAUCAUAUUAGAGGGUUCGAGAGCCACGGGCAAUUUCAGCCUACCCUUCCCUUGCUCAACUAUUCGUUUCAGAAAGUCUCUUUGUUAGGACUUGGGUGCGCCAGCAAGAGAAAAGCCUAAAAUCAAAGCUCUAGAUGAGUUGAACUUUCUUAUACGUUGAAAAAGGUUAAUGCACUCAAUCAAUAAUCUCUUAUUCUAUUUGAUUUUCUAAACGAAGAAAGCAUGAAAGAAAUUCAAAAUCAAGUAGAAGUAAAGAAGCAGAGCGGUUGCGAGACCAGUUGCAGGCUACGUGUUAAGGGUCGCAAUCUUAGUUGUCCUGGAAGUCGUCCAAGUGUCGGAUGCUCAAUCGGUAAGCUCGUUCAUGUCUGAUUUGUCGUCGACCUUUCUUCUUUCGCUAUUUACUGGGACUUUCUUCUCUGAGUUGAUUUUGUCCACUAAGUUUGGACCCCUUCUAAUUGGACUUUCGUUCUAACUUCUACUGAUCUAUAUGGAUAAAUCAGUCUCAUCCCCCCAUAAUUAAGUAGUGUCCACUAAAAAAGAGCAAAGCGAUAUGAAAUCUUUUUGUCAACGAUAAGGUUUCGUUUCUGGGUUUAGAGGCGGGGAAUACUUAAGAGGGUAAAAGAUCCCACUUUCUAGUAUUCCUCACAUGCUUUUCGUCUUCAAUUAAGGCCUUUGUUAUCAUCCAUGGUUAGAUCGGUGAAUGCGAGAAUAGGUGGUCUAUUUCUUUAUUUCUUUCCUUUUCAUCUAAUAAAGAACCUUUUUGGACCCUUGAAUUGAGUGAAAGGCCUAGGGCCUUGGCAUUACAAUUCCAUGAUCUUGCGCAUUCCCGUGGAGCUCCUUUUUAGUGGACGCUACUUGAUUAUGGGGGGAAUGAGACUCUACCCUAAUCAAUAGAACUAAAGAGAAAGAACAAGGGUCAAAGAAUGAUCAAGGGCUACUUCCUAUGCGACUUCUACUUCUCCUAGUUGCGCAAGAUCUCUUGAUGGUUGUCUAGGCUGACCUACUUCUUCUUUUCAUGCUCCAACGACUUUUUCUUAUGGGUUUGACUCUCAUGAAUGUACCAAUUGGACUAUAAUCCCCGGUUUCCAUCCAAUGUGAGAGGUCAAAUCUCCAAAAUGAAUUAUGAAAGUUUGCAACCCAUUCGUUAGGACCCAUAUAGAGUUAAAGAAAAGUCAAGCUCCAUAAGAGUUGAAAUUGAGUCGAGCUAAAUAAAGUGAGAGAAGAGAAUGGCAGACUAGGUAGCUCUCCCUGUGAAUGGAAGAAGUUUUCAUGGAAUUCAUGACCCGACCUAUCUUUGCUACAUUCUUAUAUGAGUCCGACUAUCCUAACUCCCAUUCUUAGGCUUUUUUUCAUAUUAAGCUGCAUAGAACGACUGGACUUAAAGGAGAGGCGAAGGAGGAGUUGACAAAGAAUAUCGAGAAGUAAAGGAGUGAAUUGCAAUUCCAGGAAAAAGAGAGAGAAGAAAGAAAUAAGUCAAGAAGGAAAGACCUCAUACAAUAUUCUUUGCACCUCGUACCUCCCGCCUCAAUGAAUAAGGGGGGAAGGAUCAAUUGCGACGGACAAUACACACUUGAUUUUAGUUCGAAUGAACUUUGAUCAUUCUUUAAGCCUCUAAUACUUGCUUUAGAGAUAUUGAAACUUAUGCUACAAUAUGGGUUGCCUCCACCUGAUCGAGUUACCACCUCCUCGUCCACUUUCUGAUGUAAGAUUGAGAAUAGAGAAUGAUCAUAAACGAGAUUAUGAAUCUCAUGAAUUCACUAAGCUUUCCUACUUUCUCUACCACUUCUUCAACGAGAACAACCGCCUCAAUGAACAAGGGUGAGACGGCCUCUUGUCUUUCCUUUCGCCCAUGCCUACCUAGCUCUCCCAAGUAUUCGGUAUUCAAUGCUCUUAUCCAAUGAAAAGUCAUGAAUCGACAUGGAGGAGCGGAAGGUAUGAGACGGGUGAACUACCCACUCAAAGGAUCAGUUAUUUGCUAGGGUACGCGUAAAUCAUCGUCAGAUGUUUCCGUCUUAAUAAAGGGGCUUUCUUUCCUUAUUCAAUAACUCAAUUCAGAACUCAAAUUGGAAGCAAUCGACGACUAGAGAUUGAAAGGAGAAGUUUCCUAGUAGGGUCAAUCGAUCAGCUUUCACUUUCAAUAGGAGGAUGCAGCUCCCUAGCAAUCACAAGUAAGAGGGACUGAUCGAGCCACUGCCUCUGAAUUCAAAGCCUGUCAUGUCCCCACCCCAAACUAACACAGAUGAACAAGUAAAGUAGACAAACUCAUUAAAGUAGACAAUGACUCUGCCUUUAAAGAAGAAAGAAUGGAAAGUCUGAAAGAAGAGUACUUUUAUCGUAAACACUGGGGUGCAUCCUCAAUGGAGCAUUCCUUUCUCUAGAGCUAGAAAGGAAAUGGGAGAUCUCGAAGUGCGGCUUGUCUUCGACCAGUGAUUGAGUGAUUUAUAGACGAUGCCUUUCCCGUGUAGUGGGCCUUAUGAGAGAUCCAAUUCGGGUCUUGGGGAGGUUUGGGAGUUUCUUUCUUCUGCCACUAACUUCCACCUUGUCUGGUCAUCCUACUCCUGCAUUCAUUCGUAUAUAGAAAAUAUGUCGCUUUUAAGCUAAGCAAGGACACCAAAUAGAAUUCUCUUUCCCCUCCUAUUGGGUUGAAGUAGAAAAGUUUGAUUCAUGAACUAGUCCAUCUCGAACUCGACUCAUAGGUUGCUGAUUAGGUCAUUUCGCUCUGCGUAGAAGGAGGCUUAAUGAAUAUGAGUUCCCAAAGGCUAAUUAAUUCAAUGAAAAUACAUAAGAAAGAGUACAGAUGUCCCACCAAUUCAAUCCUUUGAACUUCAAAACCGAAGAGAAAGGACUCGCCCGCUCCGUUGCCUCCUUAAUUAGGGACAUAAGCUAGGGCUUGAUCUAAAUCAUCUGUCGAAAGAGCAUCUUUUGGUUCUAGGAUCUUCGCCUUCGUUGAUUGGCUUCUAACCUUUGAGCGAGGAGAGUGAUUUCAUUAGUAAACUGGAAAGAUUUGUAGAACGCACAAUUUCAAAUGAAAGAUCUGGGAGAUGCACAAUACAUUCUCAGAAUCCAAAUUGUUCGAAACCGAAAGAACAAAACACUAGUCAUGUCUCAAGCAUCUUAUAUAGACAAAAUGUUGUCUAGGUAUAAAAUGCAGAAUUCCAAAAAGGGUCUGUUGUCGUACAGAUAUGGAGUUCAUUUGUCAAAGGAACAAUGUCCUAAGAUACCUCAGGAAGUUGAGGAUAUUAGAAAUAUACCCUAUGUUUUCGCUGUUGGAAGUUUGAUGUAUGCAAUGUUAUGUACUAGACCUCACAUUUGCUACUCAGUAGGGUGGUCAGUAGGUAUCAAUCCAAUCCUGGAUGUGAUCACUGGACAACCGUUAAGAACAUUCUAAAAUAUCUUCAAAGAACAAAAGACUACAUGCUCGUGUAUGGUACAAAGGAUUUGAUCCUUAUUGGAUACAAUGAUUCUGAUUUCCAAACUGAUAAACAUGCUAAAAAGUCUACAUCAGGAUCAAUAUUCACUCUAAAUGGAGGAGCAGUGGUUUGAAGAAGCAUAAAGCAAACUCGUAUAGUUGAUUCCACAAUGGAAGCUGAAUACGUAGCAGCUUGUGAAGCAGCAAAAGAAGCAGUAUGGCUAAGAAAAUUCUUGACAGAUCCGAAAGUCAUUCCAAAUAUGCAUCUACCAAUCACUUUAUACUAUGAUAAUAGUGGUGCAGUUGCAAAUUCAAGAGAACCUAGAAGCCAUAAAAGGGGAAAGCAUAUUGAACGCAAGUAUCAUCUUAUCAGGGAAAUUGUACAUCGUGGUGACGUUGUAGUAACUCAUAUUUCUUCUGAGCAAAACAUUGUUGAUUCUUUUACAAAAGCCCUCACGGCUAAAGUGUUUGAGGGUCACCUACACAGUUUAGGUCUACGAUGUUUGUAAACUAUGACAAGUGGGAGACUUAUUGGGCAUGUGCCCUAGUUGUAUAUAUGUUUAUUCUAUCUUGGUUAAAUUCAACAUUGUUUUAUCCCACUAGGAGUUUUAGUCCAAGUGGGAGUUUGUUGGAAUUUUUGUCCUAAAACUCGUAGUUUGUAAUUAUAUUAUGUUCAAUAAAGUUGUUAUUGAGAAAUUAAAUAUUAUAAUCUUAAAUCCAAUAAACUAAGUCUCGAGGCUAUUUUUUAGUAAACUUGAACUUUAUGUGUAGACAUAAACGUGGAUCAAGUUCGAGUAUAUAGCCUAAAUAGUCUAUAGUAUAUGAAUAAUGGAUGAGCGCCUUAUUUAGAGAUACUAUGGAUGCGGCCCACUUUGUAGUAAGUACAAACGAGGUGAUCCUGAAUCGUUCAUGUAGAGAUAUGAAAGUGGAGGCAUCCUAUGUAAAGUGUUUACACAAGGCUGAACCAUGAAUUAGUCACUUUUACGUUAUAACACCGUUUACUGUUUAAAACUGACUAUCUCGAUUAUUGAUGACCUAGGUAACUUAAUCUUAAUCCUGAACUAACUAUGAACUCCUGUUCACACGAGAUUAUCCUUAAAUCUGCAUAGGUGAGGGUAGCUCAUCAGCGUUGGCCCAAUAAGUCUCCCAUUUCAAGGGUAAGAUCGGGUGGAUAGCUCGGGACAUAGGAUGCAUUACGAAAUUCACUCUUAUCCGCUUUAAGGUUAGUAGAUAGGUUGUUCUCUUAAGCACUAAAUCCAAGUCUUGAAUAAGGGGCCCCUCCCUCUCAUUGGCCCAAGAGAGAUUAAGGUUAUAGGUUGGACCUUAAACCAAUUGUUCAAUAAUGAAUUAGUGGGACAUAAGGAGCAAAAUGUAAUCUUGGGGGUAAAACGGUAUUUUGACCUAGCCAAGGUUACGAACAACCUAUGAAGGAUUAACUUACUGAUUAUUAUUUUAUCAAAUGGAUACAAAUAUAUCUAUAGUGAGGGGAGUGCAACUACGAGAUUUUAGUGGAAUGACCCGUUAGUUAACGAAUGUUGAUUAACUCGAUCUAAAAGAGUUUUGCUAGUUAAUAUUUGAAUUAUUGAAGCCCAUGAUCUAAUUGUCCAUUAGGUCCCUCUGCUAGCUCCUAUGGAAUAAACAGUGUGAUAGAAUAAGUCGAAUUGUUCGAAUUGGGAGAAGAAAGAGAAACCGACAAAUAUAGUGAUAUAAUCAUCGAUCUUCUGAUUAGAAAUAGAGCUUUAUGUCUAAAUAAUAUUGUAAUACUAUAAGUAUGAAUACAAAUUCAUACUAAGAAGCUUGGAAUUGAUGGAAAUGGUCAAAGUUGUAAAAAAUCAAAAUGUUGACUUUUGACUUUAGAAAGCCAAACUUUGACCGACCUUAUAUUCAUGUGAUUUGAAUUUUAGAAAAAUGAAUGCAGAUUCAUGCUCGGGAGGUCGGAAUUAAUCAAGAUGGACAAAAUGGUAAAAAGUCAAAAUAUUGACUUUUGACUUGAAAGGUCAAUUGACCAUUUUACCCUUGAACUAAGUUAGUGGAAAAAUCUAACAUUUUGUUGGAUAAUCCCACUAACUCUUAGUGGAAUAUGUGGCUACAUGAGAUGUAGACACCUAGCCCACUAAGUUCCACUAAUUGUUAGUGGAAUAUUAGGUAUUGAGAUUUGGCAAAUUAAUUACUUGCAUUUUUGCAUCUAAUUAGGUUAUAAAUAGGGGUGUUUUCAAAUUGUUGAAAUUUUUUUGGCAUUUUUCUAGUAAUUAGAAAUUACUAUUUUUUCAUACUCCAAUAUCUCAACCAAAAAUUUCUACCUUCCAAUUUCAUUUUAUCUCCUUUAUUUUCUACACCAAAUUGGGUCCCACAACCCGGUUCUUUGUCUAGAGGGAUAGUAGGUGACUACUAGCGGUGGUCUCGGUUUGAAUUGGUAAGGAGAUCUCGAAGAUUUUCGAAAGCUUCAAAGGAAAUAUUUCCUAAAACCCUAAUUUGAUUAGUUUAGGGUUACAUGUUAAUUAGAGGCAAUUAGGGUAGAAUUUCGAUUCUAUUUUCGCUGUGCAUGUCUUAGUUCUAUCAGUUCAUUGAUUGUGUACUAAUCAAAAGAGCUUGAACUCCGAAAAUCUACUCUAACCUAUCUUUAGAUAUUAUGUCACUCAAAGCGAUCAUGCAAGAUGGGUUUCAGAAAUGGUGACUCAAUGGACUCCUUCUCUGUCUUUUCCCUAUAUGGUUCCCUCAUAAGUAAAGUAAAGUCAUCUUAGCCUCAAUGAACAAGGACUCGAGCCGCCGUUUCCAUAACAGAAGUCGCUAUUGAAACCAUCAGAUAGUUCAUUAUAGCAUUUAAGAAAGAAACUCGGUUUGAAAUCUAAGAUUGACAACUAUUUUUUCCAUUAAUCAGUCCUUCGUUUUUUUAGUUCUCUCAUCAUCAAAUUUCAUUGAUCUAUCGCUCUAUAUGAGCCUAAUGGAGCGGUUUUGCAAUAUACUUUUUGCCUAUGGACCAUCCGAAACACUAAUCUUUCUUCCUUUGCUAUGCCCAUAUGAACUAAUAGAUUUUUCGCAUUUCCCGGCCGAUCAUUACAAUGCGAGUCAAAGGGGUUAAAAGUCGCGCGCUCAAUAGAGACCCUUUAUGGGGGAUUCCAGUUCGACAACAAGUGAAAAGAAAGUAGCAGCAGGUUGAUCGCUAACAUAUGAGCCUUUUCGCUUGGGUGCUUUCUUCAUCCAUCGUACAAAAGUACUUGAAUCCAUAGAAUGUGAAAACUCUAAAUUAUCCGAAAAGGAAGAACGAAAGCAGAAUCUCCAUCCCAUUGACAAAGACAAACGAUUGUGAACACUUUAAGAUUGAACAUGGAACAAAAUAAAACCACUGACAAUGAAGAUCAAAGAGAACACAUGGAAUGAUCGUUUCAAUCAAAACAAUAUGAUAUCCGGGAAAAUAACUAAUCAUCGGCACGCGAAUAGAAGGAAGAAAUAUUACCUCGACCCUACCUUGCUCGAAACCACCAAAGGGAAAAAUAUUACCUCGACCCUACCUUGCUCGAAACCACCAAAGGGAAAAAUGUAAGGUUUAGAAAAUCGGUGUGGAUCAAAAUACCGUGAAGAAGAUGAUGUUGAACGAUGGAGAAAAACCAGUGAGUGCCAAAGAGGGUAAAAAUACUGUAAGAUCUAGGGAAGUAGGUUGAGAGAUAGAUCAAUUUUGGGGAAUAGAUUUCGGCAAAAUAGAGAGAGGAAAAGUGUGUAGAAGAAGAGAGAACCAUUGGUCGAGCGGAUGUAGAAGGAAUAAGGAUGAUUAAAUUUAGUCAUUUCCGUGAGUCAAUUUCUUUGGAAUAACAAGAGAUAUAUCAACGUUUUUAAGGGUCAUUUUGAAAAAUGGCAAAACUACUUUUUCUUUUAAAUUUUAGCAAAUAACAUUUUUUGCACGUGCAUUAUAUUUUAUAAAAUACCAAAAUAUCUCCUUCUCCAACUAUAAUUAUUUCGUUUCUACAUUGUACUUAAUUUAGGUUAUUCAUUUAUCUGCUUUUAAUUAUUUUUUACCUCGAAAAGAUACAGCAACCCAUAUCAUAACUUUUUUUUCUUAAUAUCUCGGGACUCAACUAAUUGAUUCAACAUUUUAAUAACUUUAUUCAAUCUUACUAAUUUCAAAAUAACCAAAUUGACUUUGAAUUUCAAAAUAACCCAAUUAAAUUUCAAAAUAACAAAAUUAUUAUUUUUCAGAAUUUGAGAAUCUGAACGAUAGAUUUUGUAUCAAAAUAACAUUAAUUAAAUUUCAAAAUUAAAAAAAUAUCACUUUGUUUGCUAUCUUAUCUCAAAAUAACAUUAAUGGCUUGAAUACCAAAAUAACUCAAUUAUUAUUUUGAAAUGGGGAGAAUCUCAACCUUAAUUUUAUUUUAAAAUAAAUUUCAAAAUAACCAAUUUAUUAAUUUUUGAAUUGGAGAAUCUCAACUAUUGAUUUUAAAACGCAAUUUCAAAAUAACCCAAUUAUUAUUUUGAAUUUAGAAGAAUUUCAACCAUUGAUUUUAUUUCAAAACAACGUUUUAAUACCAAAAUAACAUUGAGCUCAACCACCAAAAUAACCAAUUUAUUAUUUUGAAUUAAAAUUUUAUUGUCAUUUUUUUCAAGUGAGAACUUGCUUAUUUGUUUGUUUUCCAAUGUUUCUUAUUCUUAUUAAAUUAUAAUUAACUUAUUCUAAAAAUAUAGCAUAUUAUAUAUAUAUAAAAACAAUUAGUUUAAUUGUGUUUAGGAAGAUUUUUAAACCAUGUUCAUUUGACUUAAUAACAUUACUUAAAUUAUAAUUUCUAUCGAUAUUAGUUUAAAAGUGUAAUUAUUUCAAUAUACUGCGGUCUUAUCAAAAGUCUUUUAUGUGUAAUUAAUUUGCAAUAGACAGUUCUGAGUUUAUCAAAGUUUUUCAUUAUAAUUAAUUUAUGAUAUGCAAUUAUGAGUAUGCGUGUUAAUAAGGUAGAGAAUCAUAUCCUAACCUCUUCCUAAUAUCUCGGGAUUAAAAAAAUAUCAAUAACUUUAUUCAUUUUUUUAUUUCACCACUAUUAAAGUUCUUAACAACUUUAUUCAUUUUUUUAUUUCAAAAUAAUCAUAUUAUUAAUUUUUAUUGGCUAAAUCUUAAUCUUUUCGUCAAUCUUUAAUAAAUUGUAAAUUAAAAUUAGUUUUCUAAUUAGAUCUUAAUUUACUUUUAAAUUUUGAAUUUGAAAAUUAAAAUUAGUUUUUGUACGAAGAUCUCAAUUUUUUUUUAUUAUUUGGAAAUUAAACCUCACCCUUUUUUUGUUUCAAAAUAAGUUGAAUCUUUUGAUCCUUAAUAAUUUAAAAAUUAAAAUUAGUUUUCAUAUUAGAUCCUAAUUUAUUUUUCCAAUAAAAUAGCAUAAGAUAUUGUGUUUUUGUAUAAAAUCUCCCAAAUUUUAUUAAAUAAUUAAUAUAAAUAUAUAUAUAUAUUUAAAAAUCAGCAAAAAAAUUUAUAAGAGACGAGGAAGAUAACUUUUGUAUCUUUUUAAUAUUAUGAAAAUUUUAAUAUGAAUUAUUAAAAACACAAAAAAAAUAUCUUGUUUUGUUGUUUAUGUCUCAAUCUACAAAAUUUAGGAGUAUUAAUAUUAGAAUAAAAUUUAUAAUCUACCUAAAUUUUGUCAAGUAAAAUCUUUAAUUAAAACAAAUAUGAAGUUAAAAUAUUUUUAUAAGGGAUUGAGCUAAGAAAGCAGUACUCUUUGACGUAGUCUAGCUAUUAAGAGGGAAAGCAAAGUUCUCUUAGUUUUUCUUAUUUAUUCGCGUUCUUCUCAAUAAAUAACAAAUCAAUUCUAUCUUUUUUCUUUUUAACCGUCGAGAACUUCUCAAAGAUUAACCUUUUAAAAUAUUUAAAAAAUACAUUGAAUUUAUAUUUUGUUUAAUUAUAGAUUUUAUUUGGAAAAUUGUGAAAGAUAAUGUUUGUUUAUAAUAUAUUUAUAAAAAUAUUGAACUUUUAAAAAUAUUUAUAAAAAUAUAUUGAAUUUAUAUUUUGUUUUAAUUAUAGAUUCUAUUUAGAUAGAUAUUAUUAGUUUAGAAAAUAUUUAUCAAAAUUUUGAAUUUUUGAAAAUAUUUAUAAAAAUAUAUUGAAUUUAUAUUUGUUUUAAUUAAAGAUUUUACUUGACAAAAUUUAGGUAGAUUAUAAAUUUUAUUCUAAUAUUAAUACUCCUAAAUUUUGUAGAUUGAGACAUAAACAACAAAACAAGAUAUUCUUUUUUGUGUUUUUAAUAAUUCAUAUUAAAAAUUUUUGGAGUGAAGGUUUUUGUUUUUCCACUCCAAGCGUUUGAGAUUGUAGGUUGUAGACUUGAAAAUCAAAGAUAGAAGAUGAAAAAUGAGAUAAUAUUUGCAUGCUUCAAAUGUUUAUAUUAUUUUUUUUGAAAAUGCAUGAUGAAGUUUCUUUUUUAAAAUGCAUGAUGGAGUUGAAGAUAAACCUCAAACUUCAAACGAAAGAGGGUAGAGAUUGGAGGUUGCCGCUUCAAGGUGGAAAGAUUAGGCUUUGUCCACUCGAGAAAGAUGAGAUCAAAAAUGAAAAAUGGAUAUGAAGGAAGAGAAAAUGGAAGAUGAGAAACGAAAAAUAAAAAAAAAAUGUAUUUAUUAUAUUUUAGGGUAGUUUACACUUUAUCUACUUAAUGGUAUUUUGGGUUUUUGCAAAUUCUUAUUUAUUGUUUUUCUUUUUUUCAUUUGGUCAUUUUUUAACUUUAAAAUUGCUAUUAUUAUUUAAAAGUAUGUUUUUGGAAAUUUUUUUAGACACCAACGCGAAGCACUGGAUAGGCUCAACUUCCUUUCACAAAACCCUUCAGCCAUUCACACUCUCAAUCUUUCAUCCCUCCAAUUUCUCACAAAAUCCUCUCUCGCCGACUUCCAUCGACACAGAAAGUAAUCGAAGCAACUCUCCAACUUCUGAAGCCCAAACCAUUUGCUGGAGCUAAUGUGUUCGUCUCUCGUAAUCUUGUCGCUUCGGAGAUGUUCGAUCCUUUUCACGACGCUCUCAAGCAGAAUGGGGCUGAGGUUUUCCUCUGUUGCGAUCCCUCUCAAAACGCCCCUAACGACUAUCAUGUUAUCUCCUCCGCCGAUCACGUACCAAACGUCUCAUCCAUUUCUUGUUCAAUUUAUAUGGCUACUUCGGAUUGGCGAUGUGUUUAUUGGUUGUUGAUUCCUGCUUUCAGGCAAAGUUCGAGGAUCUUCGCGCCAAGGGAUGCAACUUGUUAGGUAUAGUUAAUUUGUAGUUCCAGCCUUUUCUUUCUUUCUUUUGCGGAAUAGAAUUGGAGAGAAAUUUUCGACUGGAGAACGAGAUUAACAGGAAAUUGAAUGUCUCCGUUAAUUUGUCAAAUGUAUAGUUACCGCAUUGCAGUUAAUAUUUGUCAGUGCAUGCUGCAUGUACGCAGUAGCCGAGUAAUAUAUACUUCACUGCUCUCUCUUUCCGAAUAGCCAAACAGAGUUGUUUGAAAUUCUCAUUUCAGUCCGACGCCUGGGAUUUGGUGCGUCGCUGACAACUUGAAUUUCUGUUGGGAAGGUCCUCAGUGCGUGAUGUCAUGUGCAAAAAGAGCACAGACCUCUUCCUCAACAGGGUUAUACUUGCUGCCUUGCCAUGGAUGGUGUGAAAAUCUUGGCAUCCGGUUUUCAGGAAGAUGAAAAGGUACGUUGCAAAUGUUCCUAGUCCACCCAUCUUUUUUCUUAUUAGUAAUUAGUAAUUUUAUUUUUGUAGAACUAAUGACACAAAAUUGCAUUGCAGGUUGAGAUAGGGAAGUUAGUUAGUGCAAUGGGGGAGUAUUGCAUACGAAAGCAUCACUAGAUGUCAGUUUUGUUAUCGCGAAGAAUGCUUUGGCUGCGAAAUACAAGGUCGUGUUGCUUGAACUUUCGAUUUUCUUGACGUGAUAUGUAUGUGUAUGUAGACCAUUUCAUGAAUAUCACGUGAAUCAUAAGAUUUGAGUCAAUUAAACUCCACAAAAUUCAUUUUUCAAUCAAUUUAGACCUUUAAUCACGGUUACCUUUAAAUUGAUCUAAUUGAUAUAACUAUAAGUUUCACACAAAUUUUUCAAAAUGAAUGUAAUAGAGGGCGUAAAUUGAUACACUAACAAAAGCCAGGUUUAAAUUGAUACAAUCUCUACAGUUUGGGUGUAAAUUGAUAUUCUCCCUUAAUUUAAUUGUUAAAUGCGUAAUAGACUUAAUAAUGGUUUUUAGUUUUAUUCUACCUGAAAUUUACUGCAAAGGUUUUGACAGAUACUUCAUAUUAUUUUCUCUGUUUUCAGUGGGCACUAAACAUUUCAAAGAAACCAAUCGUGUCAUUUUCUUGGUUACAACAAUGCUGGAUUGAACAUCGUGUUGUGCCUCAGGAGGGAUAUCGGGUCCUUCCAUUUUCUGGACUGAAUAUUUCGGUAUCUGGAAUUCCUGCAGGUUGUGUUUUAUAAUAUUUUAUUUCUUCUCAAAGAAAAUUGUUUUCUUGUAUUUCUUCUUAUUUAUGGUCCUCUUGGGGACAUCCGAUAAAAUUGUGUUAGUUCCAUCAUUUCUGGGUCUCAGGUGAGUGCAAGGAGAUGGCAAAGCUUAUCUUGCAAAAUGGUGGAAGAUAUUCUGCCGAUCUCACAAGAAAGUGUACACAUUUGAUAUGUGAUAUAUCCUUUUUGCAUUUUUUUUCUUGGCGUUACUUUUGAUCUUUUCGCUUCUUGUUUGAAGCACUCAAAUUUAUGUGCUGGAAAAACAUCUUACUGCAGCUUAAGUUACAGAAUAAAUGGAUAGGGAUAAUAAAUACUAUAAAAAUUAACUUUGAACAAUAUGUCUUGGGAUCUUUCAUAAGGGCCUCUAUUUCUUUUCAAGUGCUAUUAUUGGCAGUAUUUGACCGUAAUAGUUGCAACUGCUUUAGUUUGUUUCAUUGUAUUUUGAGCAUUAGUCUCUUUAAAUUUUACCAAGGAAAAGUCUUGUAUCUUAUUUAUUUGAAAUUGGAUCAACACUGAUUAUAUGAUUAUUAACUCAAUCAUUCAUUAUUCCUUCUCUUCCGGUAGUAAUGACCCUUCCCAUUGUCAGGCGAUUCACUUAUGAUGAUAACUAUUCUUUUAAUGAUCUUUAAUGGCUGUAUUUUCUUUUCCAUAUCUCUUAGAACAAUCCUAAAAGGAUGUGAGAUUGACACGAAUGAGGUACGGCCUCAUCCAAGAACAAAAUUGAUCACUUUUUGUCCCUUGACAAUCUCUCUAGUUUCUAGUUGAGGUUAAGUGAUGGGAAUGACUAACCACACUCACAAACGUUUAUUUGUAUGGCCAUUGCAAGCAUGCUGCUUGCAUAGACAAUCCAUUUCUAAAUAGUUGCAUAGAAUGUUUACUUAUUGGUAUUAAAUAUUCUUGUUUGAAUAAGAGGUUUUCUUUAAUGGUUAAGUAAGCUUCUGAAGGUGACAAGUACAAGGUUGCACGAACGUGGGGCCGUAUCAAUAUUGUUACUCGGAAAUGGUUUGAUCAGUCCAUAGCCAGAAAAGGUAGUAGUUCGGGUUGUAUAUUUGAAAACCGAUAUGAUAUUUGAAUUGUUGGCAGUUAUUUGUCAAAUAAUUUUAUUAGUUUCUAACUUGUUUCAAAUCCUUUUAUUCUAUUUUUUAAUUGAUAGGAUGUUUUAAUGAGGAGCUGUACCCUGUUGGUAGCGUUUCUGGAACUUCAAAUAAAUUGACAAGGGGUUGCUUGACUGCUCACAAUAGCCAAGAAAAGGAUAUUGGGAACUUGGAAGCUGUACCGUCCUCAUUUCUUACCGAUUCAAAAUUCACAGCAGUUGCUGGUCCUGGGUUUUCAGACAUGGAUGUUAAGUUACUCUUUCACAGAGCACGUCUAUGUUUUCAGAUGCUUCUAAUUUUAUAAAUGAGGUUGAUGUUGAAGUGCCAGUCACGAUGGGAAGGAAUGAAGAAAACACUGUUAAUUGUCUUGCAAAUGACUUUUAGUCUGAAGAAAACGACCUAUAUUUGUCAGCAUGUAGAAUAAAAGUUGUUGGGUUUGAAGCUUCUGAGAUGCGGAAGAUUGUAAAUAUGAUUCUCAGAGGUGGAGGCUCCCGAUACAUGGUUUUCAAUGACAAAUUAACACACAUAAUAGUUGGAGAUUCGUCAGAAAUGUAAUUAUCCUUUUACUUUAAUCGCAACAUAGGUUUUGUGAACUUUAUUGCUUGAAUUUGUGAGCUCGCCUGUGCUGUGAGCUUUUUGAUUUCAUUUGAAUGGUCUAUCCACCCAAUUGAAAAUUAGUUUUAUCAUAUUUCAAAUGGCAGGGAGAAAAAGGAGGUUAGAGAUAUUGCUACUUCAGGAGUUGUUCAUGUGGUUAGAUCCAACUGGCUUGAAGAGUGUGACCGUCAGAAGAAGGAGAUCCCUAUUCUUGGUAGACACAUGGCAUAUGAUGAACUUAUUCCUAAAGGUUUGAUAUGCAGGACUCGUAUUCUAAGCUAUCUGUCUUUUGAAUAGCAACCUUAAACUACCAUCAUGCAGAAUAACUGCACAUUUCAUUUGGAUGCAUGACUAAUAUUUGUUUGGAGAUCCCUAGCCUGUUUGUCUUGUUCUAAAUUUUCUGGCUGUUUACUUUGCAGCAUCUAGUAAAAUGAGCACCAUUGUUAUGGAUCAAAAUAAAGUUCCAAAUGUUCAUCCAAUCGUGCCAUCAAAUGUGUCAGAAGGAAAUAUUCAUGUUAGCAUUGGAAAGACGUCAAUAGCAGUGGAAAGAAUUGAAGAAAAAAGUGAAACAAAAGUGAAUGGAGACAGGAAAAUGAAAUUAUCCCAGAAAAGCCAACAAUGUGUAGCAAAUGGUACAAACAAGAGUUGAGAAAAGAUGGGGCGUGAUUUCAUGGUUUCAAAUGGGAAGUCAUCAUGUGUAUUUAAGGGGAAAAUAUUUUGUUUUUCUAGUUCCUUUCCAGAAGAUCGGGUAUGUUGUAAAGAUUCUUUCCUCUUAUUUCAAACAGCAUGAUUAAUGUACACUAUGCACUUUAGGUUUUAGAUGUAUUAUUGUGGUAAAUAGCAUCCAUUUUUUAAAAAAAUAACAAAGUAGAAGCCCUGUAUUCAAUAUCAAUUGACUUGAGUAAAGAGUAGUUCAUUACUGCUCCAACUCCAUGAUUUUAAAAGCAAGUCAAUGGUGCAGAUAGGAUUCUAGAUCUACUGUUUCUUUAACACUCCGAUCCUGUUAAGAGAAUGAUAUAAAAAAAAUGGAAAAAUUACCUUUUUAGUCCCCAAUUUUAUAGAAAUAGGUUUAUUGGUCCUUGAGUUUUCAAAAUGUACUCUUUUAAUCCUUGAGUGCUUAAUGUUAUACUGGAGACUCUCAAAACCAAUUUUUAGAAGAAGUUAUUCUACCUUAAAAAUGUAUAAAGUUAUAUUGGGGACUUUCUAAACCAAUUUUUAUAAACUUAGAGACUAAAAAGGUGCAUGACCAAAUGGGUCUAUUUUUCUAAACCUGGAGACUAAAAAUGUACAUUUUUAAAACUCAAGAACCAAACACACGUGUUCUUCAAAACUUGGGGAGUAAUUUUCCUAAAAAAUUUAAGAUAGUGCCAAAUGUCAUUUAGCAUGUGAAAUAAUUACGAUUUUC
rnacentral:lncRNA from 1 species